rnacentral:lncRNA from 1 species
AGAAUUUGUCUAGCAUAAUCAAAGGUCAUUUACCUAACAUAAUAAAAGGUAUAGAAUUCACCUAGCACAAUAUAGAACUGAAGAAACCGCAUUGCUUCCUAAAAAACUCUCUAGCAUUAGCACUUUUCAACAAGCCGUUAAUCCUGUUGCGCAAGAAGCAACUAAAGAAAUCAGUCCACCAGCACAGUCCAUUCUCGUCGACAACACUGGAACGGAACCUUGAAACUGCUUAUUCUGGGCUUAAACUUCAAGUAAAGCACCGAACAUGAAACUAGCACCGAACCUAGUCCACUUGAACAUCCGAACUAAACUACAGCCGAAAUCCUUACAUGCGGGCGCAUAGUUAACAAGGAAUUCCAGCAGUAUAGUGAAAUCAAAGAGAAAGAUGAAUUGAACUGAUGCUGACGCACAACUAACUAACGGAGCUACGACGCAGAGCUACUAUCUACCUACUUGCUUAUGAACUACAGUCAAUCACCUCUCUAUACCGACGUUAAGCCAAUAACAGAACUAUACGACCCGCGCUGAUGCAGGGUCUUUUUUGACUUACCUAUAGAAUAGUCACACUAGAUUCUAUUCAUGGUUUACUUCACACUGGCCUAUCAUUCUUGUUGAGUAUGGAGCGGGUUCGGGUUCCAAUCAAUAUUCUUUUCCUUAAGCAAGGGAACAAGCAAGGGAAAUAAUUCUUUCACUUUAUGGAAAGGUGCUAUAAUAGGUGACUUUAACGGGUGGGCGUGAGCUUCGUUUUCGUCAGCAUAAGAGGCAGCUGAAUCGAAUCCAAAUGAUUGAGCCCGAAAGAAGCACAGUUAUAGAAUCAAAUGAUUUAGCCGCAAUAGAAUAGGCAAAGUGGAGAAUCAUUUAUAUCCCUUCACCCGAUAUAGGCACAGUUAUAGAAUCAAAUGAUGGAGUUGCUAUAGGCACAGGUUGAGAAUCUUUCAUAUCCCUUCACCAUUCAUUGCAUCUUUCUAGCAUAUUCAAUAAGACACUAACUCCUAACUCAUAACUCACGUAAACACCAAAAACUGUAAGCUUAGCGAGCGACUUUAGCGUUAGUACUUAGAGUGGCUUGUUCAGUGCUUUACUCUAAGUCCAGCUGACUCUUUCAGAACUUAAGGUACAGUGCUAUGUGAAUCAAUUAUAUAUUAGUUGCGCCUUAAGCGUUAGAUUACUUUCCAGUAUUAGUGGCGACUAAAGCUAACGGUGACUUUCCUGGGUUCCUCAAUUCGUUCUUAAAGCUAGGAUAGAAAGUAUUGUUUUGAAACCACCAGUGUGAAGAAAUCCACUAAUAACCUUAUGGGGCAAGUAGUAUCAUUGGCGAAACAAAGAGAGCAGGCUGAAACUAAAAACUAGGCAUUGAGCACUGCCCAACAAGAACCAAACCCGGAACUAGUACUUGGACUAGCGCUGGCAAGGCUUUAACCCAACACUAAGGCUUUCAUUCGGAACUGGGGAUUGAACGAACCACUGAUGACAAAGCGCGCACUGCUGCUUUUAAGGCUUUCAUCAAGGUAGCAAACUACUCGUGGAAUUACUAUAAUCAAACUAACUACUAUUAUUUCUCAUAUGAAAACACACGUAUAAAUGUAAGUGAAAAGAAUAAUGAAUUGGAAUCUUAAUCGGGAGUAGCAGGACUAACUAACACAACUGAAAGGGAAUUCGAGGUACAACGUUGCUUGGUGAGGACGAGUUGAGCUCCUAUGCUUACUGCUUAUACCAAUGAGUUGAGCUCCUAUGCUUACUGCUCUUAGUCUAUUGCUGGGUAUAUUACUACAUGUGGUAGUCCCGUAUUACUAAUGCCCUUACCUUAGCCUUAUAGUUCACCAUCCAAGAAUGGAAGAAGCAAACGUCAGACUUGAAGUCGGGAAUACAAAUAAGGAAUAAUAAUAGUAUUUCCAGAAUACUGAUAUACUUUGACUUAUGUAUUGAGAAUAUCUACGUAGUGGUCCCUACCCUAGUAUGAGUCGCUAGCCUAGUAUGAGUCGCUAGUAGGGAUCGAUCCCUCAUUAAAUACUAACGAGUAAGGGUCGGGUGCUUUUUACCUUUCUUCUAUUUGCAAGUAUUCAUUAUCAUAUCCAAUAUUCUCAAGUAUUUUCUUAGGUGCUUUUCCCCUAGUGUUUUCCUCUAGUCUAUUGAUUGAAAAAGUACAAUUGUUUUUAUGUUUUCAAUAUGUUUGUUUGUUUUUCGAUUUCCAUAUGUCUGUACCGGUUCUUUUGUUUAGAUAAUGGGCUUUGAUGCAAGUUGCCCGAUGGAAUUGAGCUUCUGCUGUCCCUACUAGUUCUAAUUGCUUUCUUGACUUCCUACCUAUUAAUAAAGUGUUGACUUCCUACCUAUUAAUAAAGUGAGUAUAUGGUGCGUUAGCUUAUUAGAGUUUAGGGCGCGCCAGGCAAUAAGUGUGGUAGCAGCGUCUUUUCUUCACGUGGAAUCGGCACCUUAAUUCAAAAACUCUAGGUAAUUCAAUAACACCUGACUCAUGUUAUAAAACAAAGGACAACUUUCUUUCCAUGGUCGAAAUGUGUGAGCGGCAAUUGGCUCAGACAUAGGAGUGGAUUCCAAGUUUCCCUCGACCUGUUCACCACAGAAAGCAAGAUUACGGAAAGGCAGGCAGGCUUUUCAUAGAAGGUUUGAGUCGGAGUUGGGCCUGUGUUCAUGUCGUUUGUGAGUUAAGCGAGUGAAGAGGAGCAUCUUACUCUUAGGAAACUUCUUCUGAUCUCGUUGACUCAACUCAAACAGUCAAACAAUCAUUUCUUACUGAUAUGCAUAUAAAUGAAGUAAUCUGAUUCCUGCUGACUCUAAUGCUCUAUAAACGGACUCUGCUGGCUCUGACCUUACAAGCGUUACUGUUCCUUUCCACUUAACCGACGGAUCUUAUCUUCACGAUGAAACUAUGAUUCACGGCAAACUAAGCAUUCGUUCGGAGUUGACAAGGGAUAUGGCUCACUUUCUUAUAUUAUGUGAGUAUGGAUAUGGAUAGGCCGGCAGCACUCCCUUUUAGGUCAGAAGAGUUCCUUUGCAAGAAAACAACCUCUGAUACGACCAAACAUUUCUAAGGAUUCCUACAAAAUGAAAUGAAAUAAUAUCAUGUUAGAAUAUCUGACAGAAGCAGCACUCUUUCAGUUGGAUGCCCUCUUCUUCCUGGCAAGAUAAGAUCCAGAAUGGCCUUUGGUUUGGCUAGGAAAGUACAGCUAGUGCAACGAAGACUGCUAAAGCAGCAGCAAAGAGAGAGGACCGGGAGAGACAAGACACCUCUUAUGCCGGAAAAGGAAGAAAGUGAAGUAGAAAGUGCUAACGCUCCCAUUCCGAAUCCAAGAGAAACCUAAGAGAAUACCAUGCUACCAGCACCGAAUCUAAGGGAAAGCAUUUGAGCAAGAGGAAUGAAAGAAAAGUGGAAAUUUCCUAUUAGCUACCAGCACCGAAUCUAAGGGAAAGCAUUUGAACAAGAGACAGAAUCCAAAUAUUCAAUGCUAGCCGACCCAUCCUCCCAGAUCCGCAUCAGCGAGUGGUGUGACGACGACCAACUUGACAUUGAAAAUCACGAUUGGAAUGUCAUCUUACUCGGUAAAAGAUAGAAGAAGCGGAACGGAUUUCUCUUUUAUAUGAUAGGACUGCUUGCUGCCACUUCCUUAUGACAUUACCUUAUGACAUUACCUUUUAGACAAUCUCCGAUCUACGAAUACCUUGCUUGGGUCAGGAUCUUAUUAUUAGUGGAAAAACAUAGCCCUAGCUAGAUUCACUUAGUGGAAAAACAUAGCCCUAGCUAGAUUCACUUAGUGGAAAAACAUAGCUCUAGCUAGAUUAACUAAGCCGAAUCUCUCUUUUGACUUUCCUUAAAGGAAUUGAUAAGACAUAAGGAAGAGAUGAAACGAGUUAAGAAAGAAGAAGGGUAGAGAAAUGGGAUAACAUAGAGAGUAUGCCUCAUACUGACCUAAUCCGCUUCAAGCUUCGGUGGAGGCCCUCGCCCUCGCUUCGUAGACGUAGACAACAUUCCUUCCCGUGAAAAGAGUUUGUCUCUUUCCUCAGUUUGUUAUAUCUCUUUCCUCAGUUUGUUAUAUAUGAAUGCAUUUGAAACCCCCCCUCCACUUGAAUCUGUUUGGUUCUACAUAUGUUUGGUUCUACCAUGAUACUUUGGUUCCUUGGCAUAAGUCUGCUAUACUGUUACAAUAAAUUGUCACGGGUUCUGAGGCAUGAGUUAGAAUACCUAGACGCUGCAAUAACCUCCUAAACCAAACUGCUUCCUUGCUUUAACCUAAUCUGAAAACUGCUUCCUUGCUUUAACCUAAUCAAUAUCGGGCCGUGUACACAUCAUAGCAUACAUCAGGCUUCUUACAGCGCAGGAAUAGGUGACUCUUUCUUCUCUCUUACGAUCUUGACACCAAGCACAUAGCUAGCAUCACAGUUCUUUUUUUCUCUGGUGUUCUGUAUUUCUCUUUAGUUAUCUAUAAAUUAGUACUAUGAUAUGAUAUCUUUGCUCAAACUCCCUUUGCUUACUCUUUCUCUUCAGCUUCAAUUACAGAGCGCUUCCUGAGACAACGAGGGCGGGGAUCGGUAAGCCCCUUUUUUCUUUAUAGGAUCUCUCUUCAAUGCUUUCCUCUUUUAAAGACAAAUCUUCUAGUAGUGCUAAUUACGCUUUGCAAUUCUACAAAAGGAUUCCUAUUUGCAAUUCGAUAUUGGAAAUGGAAAUAACACAGCAACCACCUAUUUGGGGAUAUUUUAGACGGGAAUAAUGUUGGACUUUUGAGCGCCAGAGAUCCUCCUCCUCUAUAGCAUAAGUAAAAGCAGAAAAGGUAGCGGGCGAAAAGAUACGCGGCAAGGAAAGCUAAGGGAAAAGAAUAGUCAAUUCCUUUUCUUCCUUAAGCAUCUACUGAUCAAUAACGGAAUCUAAGUCACUAAGGGAUUCACUUUUGAAAAAGUCAGAUCGGAUUGAAGCCUACCGGUGGCUUACUCAUAUAAUAGAGAUCUUCAUUUACCAGGUCCUUGAAUCCAAAAGUCAAAGGGUGAAAGAAAGCAAAAGUAUUGAUAUUGACUUUCAAAGAAUAACCACUUCAUUUACUAAAUAUCAUAUCAGAGGGCUAGAAACGGAUUGAUACUGUCUUCUCUUUUCUCGUUUACAUAAAAGCUAGGGCCUUUCUUCAUUCAUGACCGAGUAAUAUGCUUUAAAUAGACUUCGCCGAAUCCCUUUUCAUUACAUACAACCUGACUUUGCUACUUCUGCUACCGUAGCCACAUACAACCUGACUUUGCUACUUCUGCUACCGUAGCCCUUGCUGAUUUACAGGAUUGGCCCCCUUCCGCUUCCCCCAUUGUAAACUCGCUUGCCCCGGCUCAAAGAACUCUCUUUAGGAAUGGACUUCGCUCACUUCAGCCCAAGCAGCCAUUCUGGAUUAAAGGACACAAGCCUGCUAUUCACUCGCUUUCCAGUUGAAAGCCUUAUUAUCUAGUCUUGCCGGUUACACCCUUUCUUGCCAUUUACCAUUCUCCGGGUAUUUCUUCUUUUAGGCUGACGGCUUGGUCAGAUUAGGAUGUUGCUUCUUUAUCCCCUCCGAUCAGGAUCUGCCAACGCCCGAAGUCACUUCACUCUAUAUCUCUGGAACCGAAAGAGGGUAAACCGUGAGCAAACUUUCGAGCUGGGAGAACUAAGGCAUUUCCUUACUAUUAAAGAACUAAGGUGCUGAAAGCCUACUAUUCAUCGUUAUCUCGAACCAAAGAAAGCGGAGUGAUCAUCGUUAUCUCGAACCAAAGAAAGCGGAGUGACAAGAACAUCAAACUGCUGACCAAGUAAAGUCACUUAUGGGCUACUGAUGCCAUCCCUCUGUCUAAUUGUAUUGGCCUCUCGGUGAUAGAUACUAUUCCUGGCUCUUAGCACCUUCCUUCCAUCCUCUUCUCCGACUUCAGCAGAAACAAACCUAAUUAUCUCAUGUCAACAGCGCAUUCGUUCACUCAAGCAUUUGUUAGCUCCAAGUCCAAGAGCCUAUCCGGUACCAGAAGUGUUGGGUUCAUUUGUAUUUCUCUUCUUUAGCUACAGUAGAAUAGCCUAAACAACUCCGUCGAACUACUUCGUUCCAAACAGAAUUCCGAAUUCUUAGACGGAUGAGACUGAUCACACCUCAUCGUUGAAAGAAGGCUUAGACCCUGAAUGGAAAAGGGCACAGUGUUAGAUGGAAAGGAAAGAGCCAGAAAUCAGAGACCCCUCGCUUCCUUCUAACGCCCAUUAUAGGAUAUAGGUCCAAAAAAGGAGUUCGAUGAUCUUUCCUAGAGCUUCCGCUGCUCUUAUUACUGCUUCCCUUCAGCACGGCGUUACAGAAAGCGCUGACUCAAUGGGCCUCAUGCCUGCCUAUAUGUCUUUAUUCCCCCUUAGAUUGGAUAAGGUCUAUAUUCCUGAACUCUCUUUCUAGAUUGGAUAAGGUCUAUAUUCCUGAACUCCCUUUCCAGAGGGUUUAGAUCCGGGAUUUCCUACUAAGGGCUUCCUUCCCGAGUUCGAUGCCUGCAGAGCCUAUGAACAAACACUCUAACUAAGACUAAAGAUGACACUUGGACAUGUGCUUGUGGAAAGGUCUAAGAAAAGGCUGGGUCAAUAGAGGCAAUAGAAACCAUACUUACUCAUCAUGUAAAUAAAGGGCAAAAGUGGACAAUUGACAAACGAGCGGAGCUAUUUACGGUCGAAACGCAUACGGGGAGGUGGGACUCGUUUAAAUGCAAGGACGCUGGGAGGAAACCCUCUUGGAUUCUCGGGCAAAAAAAACACAGAAUGGGGCUUAGUGAAAACGGGCUUCGAGAAGUCGUUCUUAGCAAGAAAAGAAUAGAGAGGGUCGCAGCUCUUAGCCAGGCUUCUAUUCCAUCGGUUUUACGUGGGUCAGAUUCCUACUAUUCAUUGAUUGAGUCCAAAAGAACGGGGUUGGAUGCGAGAUUGGGUGAUUUAGAAUGGAAGUUCAAUCAAAACAGGAUCCUUAUAGUUCAAUCAAAACGGGAUCCUUAUAUGGGCAAGUUGCUUAAAGGUUUCUAUUGUAUUGGUUUUGUUCUUUGUAUGGGAACUCCUAAUUGUUACUCCGGAAAGGACAGACGAAUCUUAAAGAAUGCGUACACGUGAAAAGGCUUACCUUAAGGCACACGUGAAAAAGGCUUACCCCUGAGGCCCUUCCGUUCUUUCUUUCUCCUCUGGUUUUGAGGUCUAGGUGGGUUGGUUUGGCGUAUGAGUCCGGUUCACUUCUUUUUGCUUGCUGGUGGAGAGCUUUCCCUUGUGAAAUCCAACUCAAACUAUACUCAAAGGAAAUCCAUUGACAAUACUUGAUAGGAUCUAGAAUAGUUGCUUCUCUUUCUAGCAAAGAAGGAUCCAGUCUCGCUAACCGCGUAUCCAAAUAAGCCUUCCUUUUGCAUUGACAGCAGUUAUCUAGUUUUCGCGGGUGCGCAAAAUGUCCUUUUGAGAAUUGAGAAUUGCAGGAAAAAGGGUCAACUAAGAAAAUCCAGAAUGGAUGCGAAAUAGGAAGACCACCAAGUCCAAUCCUAAUAGUUAUUUCUUACUCUCCUACAGCAUAAUAGACUUGCGAAUGGAUCCUAUUUGUUCGAGUGGAAAUCCUCUCCCCAUCCAUACUGAUCAAGGUGGGGAACCAAACCACUUAAAGGAAGUAUGUUCUUAGAUGGUGUUUGCAUGUCAAAGGAAUGGUAGUAGUGGGCUGGAUGUUCGGUAAGCGUGUGAGAUGAGACCCGAUCCUUCCACAAAGGACUCCCGUUUCAACAGUGCAUUUUUCCUUUGAUUCUCCGUCACCCGUUCUUCCCGACCACCGCCCGAUGCAGUCUAAACUCAGGUUAUCUCAAUAGACUUCCCAGCUAUUCUAUUCUAGAUAUCUUAUCUAAGAUGAAAACUGACUGUUUGUUUAUCCGAAAGUAUCUGAUGGUCAGGUCAUAGAAAGACAAAAACGUAUCGCCCACUUAAGAAAAUGAGGUCUGAACGGUAGGCUCCGCUGGAGAAACGACCAUAGCUGCACGGAGUUAGUUGACUGAUUUAGGUAUCAUGAUAGCUUGUUAGCGAUUACACUAUCCCCGGAAUAGCUUUCACUUCAUUGUUAAAGCUAUUGAACAUAGGUGGAGUUCAUACAGAAAAUGCUGUGUACUAUGAAAGAAAAACCACCAAUUCCUUUGAGGCUACUAACACUACCGAAGCAGGCUUGUUGGUUACUGGUUUUGGUAUUGAAAACAUAUAAAGGCUUUCAGCACCUUGCUUCUAGUUUCGCCGGUACCCUCGAGACAGCUUUCCCUAAAAGGACCGGAUUCAAGACAUUCGAUCUCAUACCCACUACAAUAAAUGAAAGUAUACUCGUAGCAAGGAACUCUUUCUUUAUUACUUUAGGUGGAAACUCUCUGAAGUUGGUUCUUUCUUCUCUUUAUUUAUAGUUUCAACUCAUUCCUGGUUGGUUCUUUCUUCUCUUUAUAGUUUCACUCAUUCCUGCCGCUCCGUUUAAGAAGUUUCGGCUCUAUGGCACUUGUUCUCCUUCUAUAGAUCGAGAUGCUUUUGUGGAUUGGAUGCUUUUCUUUUCCGUUGAAUAACAAAACAAAUGGUCGAUGUGGCUUUAUUAUCUUAGGUAGAAAGAAAGGGCUAUCUUUUGCCUAACUGUGAUAGGAGGCUCUGGAAAGACAACAAUACAAGCUGCUUUACUUAUCGGAUAGCUACUGACUUGCGUAUAGAGAAAUGGAACCGUAUUUAACUUAAUCCAAAGGUGGACUCAUACAUACUAUGGCUUUAUGAACUUAAUAAAUGAAUAUGUUACGAUUGAAGAAUACCGUAAUGGGAAGAAUACCUUAAUUGAGAAUAUAAUAGCGGCACCGAGAAACUGUGACUUGAACUGCAAAAAGGAAAAGACCCCAAUCUUCGAGAAAGCGAAACUCAAAUGACAUCCAACCCUAGAAAAAGCCGAGUAACCGCUUACCACCUAUACCUUGAAGCCUGCUACUGAGAAAGUGGCUGUCCUAAGGGUUAAUUAGCUCCUACCGCUCGAACACCAAACUAAGGACUCGGUUAUAGUUGCAGUGCCUACUUUUAGGAAUACAGUGCCCUUAAGUAAUUGAACCCGCCUUGUCAUUAUUCCAUAAUGCCUUCCUUCUUCUUUAGACGUGUGAAAGAAAGCGCCUUUUUGAACUCCGAACCGUGAUACCGAAAAAUCCACUCAUUCGGACAAUGUCCCAAGACAUCUUCGAUCUAUCGAGCUACUAGUCGAUCAACGAUAACAACACUUUCCCACUUGUUUGUUCUGGUGGCAUAUUACAUUGCUUUCUAUUUCCCAGAAAUCUAUUACUUCGUUGUUCGGUGGUCAUUCUUGUCGAGUUUGUCCAGUUGUACGUAAGGAUCUUAUUUGAGCCCAUACUUGUUUCGUUACCCGGAGUCUUGCUUUCACCCUUCGAAGAUUCGAUUUGGCCAUUUCUCAAUUGACCGAGUUGCUGCUACUACUUUUACUAUGACCGUUUGGAUUGUUGCUUUCUUGGUGUUUUACGGAAAUAAUUGUUAUAAUAUAAGGAGUUAUUGAAGUGAGUUAGUUUGGAGAAGAACGGUUUCAUUGUGUUCGUGAAGAUAAGAUAGUAGAGAUCACUAGACCUAGAGCAAGAAUGGGAUGUUACGCCAAUGAGCCGAGCCCUCUAGGAGUAGGACGCCCUUUGCUGGUGCCCGGGUCCCCUAUAGUCUCAGGAGAGAUUAUACAAAGGCCACUAACCCAGGUCCCCUAUAGUCUCAGGAGAGAUGAGAAAAGGCAAACUCGCAAGUCACCUUGUCUCGUAUCCAUCAGAAAACCGGGUUCCCUGUAAGCAAAGAACAAAGGUAGAUGAUAAGUUUACUUGAAAGAACAAAGGUAGAUGAUAAGUUUACUUGAAAAGCCAUAGAGUAAGUAAGGUGACUUUCCAAUUGACUUGAAAAGCCAUAGAGUAAGUAAGGUGACUUUCCAAGAAUAUGUCUCCUUGACUUGCUCAUAACUGUUACUAUUAACUCUGACUAUAUAGUUAGUUGAGCUCCCUUAAACAUAGGACUAUUUCCAGUUUCUCUCUGUGUUUGUUGGUGACAAGAGAGAAAGAUCAUCGGCAAAAGAACGAUCUGAAGCUGUUACUAGUCAAUUCCAUUCUUCACUUUCAGAGGUCAAUUCCAUUCUUCACUUUCCGCUCUUGACGUCGAGUUCGGGGAAGCAUAUUCCUAUUUAGAAGGAACAGGAACAGACAGAAAUAUAAGUCCGCGAGGGUAUAUAUAACAACCUAGUAAUCCAUAAGAGAGGUCCGGUGGGCAAUAGAAGUAGUAGAAUAAGGAGCAGGUAGGCAGAAGAUACGGCAUCAGGUGAGCGAGCUAUAUCCUGAGUGGGUAAAGAAUAAGUAUUUGGAGCCCCCUUUCUUGCAAUUGAGUCCGGGUCGGAAAGCUUCAAGUAAGGGCAGAGGAAAGGCUAGGCUGCCUAGCAGAGUUAUUAAGGUAAGGAGUCAGCAAUAAAAGGAGUCAGCAAUAAGUGAGUAAGUAGUUGAUUGACUAUUCUCUAUUAGUGGUAGAUAACUCUCUUCACAAUCAGCUAGCUAUAUAGAAGGAGUUAUAGGUCAAACAAAUAAUUCAUGGAAUCUUUCUUGCGCUACUCAUGAAUGGAAAUUGGAAACUCCAACUCGUUACACCUAUUCCUCUAAUGUGAAAGACUGAUAUUGUAGGGCGAUGAGAGAGGUUCUGAUUGUGUUGUGGUCGGUGCUUGUCUACGAGAAUUGCCUUAUUGACAGCUUUUGACUGGAAAACGAAGUUAUUGAAUUGAACGGAGUGCACCUAGGAAGAGCGCUACCAUAAAGGAUUCCAGUAUCAAAUCAUUUAAAGAACAGAUGGGGGCCCGUGCGUGUCAUUUGCCCCAUAAGAUUUGUUGACGAGAGUUAGCAAAAGUAGUAUACUAUUUCUUGGCUUUGCCCUUAACCGAGCGCAUUUAUUGAGUUGGGGGGGCUAGUUCCAGUCUUAACCUGGAAUUUCAUCCACUUUCUAGCGCUGAAGCAUAAGAGGGAUUCGAAGAUGGAUCUGAUUCAAAAGAUAGGGAAGCUAUGUCUCCACUUCUUUAUAUGCUAUGAUAGAAGGAAUAGGGUCCAACUUCGUGCUUUUAGAUGAAAGUCAGAGAAAAGUGUCCCGCCCCCCGAGUGCUCUAAACGCCAAAUACUGAAUGGAACUUGCAAAUACAAGAUAAAGGAAUGGAAGAAGAAAUACGAUACGGAACAACAAACUCUUACAGUAGCGCCGAGAAAGCCAUAUCCGGAGUUGGAGAAUAAUAGGGAAAAGAGACUAUUUCCAGAGGAGAAGAUACUAUAUCAGGUGAGUUGGUAAAGAAUAUAUAUAGAGUUGGCGUAGGAACAAGAACUCGAUAAGAAUCAUACUUAGUUGUCAAGAAAUGCAGCAGUAUUAGAAGCUGGUAAAGAGGAGGCAAAAGUGAGCUUAGAAGUAGCGAACAGGAACUAAACUCUACUACUUUGAGCGGGCCGGGCCGGGCAUUGACUUAUCGCUUGCUGCUGAGGAAACUAAUACGGAUUUGCUUUUCUCUCUCCAUAACUACACUUUUCUCGCACAGCUAAAGCUUAUUAUACCGCUGAUGAUACUUAUUCAUAAGAUCUGGAUCCUGCAGAAUCGACAACAACACUUGUUUCUGGUGCCGAGUCUCUUGAAACCGGUGUUUGAGGGUUUGUCUUGUUAGUUCAGAAUCAUAAAUACGAGUAGGGGUUUCAUCCCGUAGUUAAUCCGUAUAAUAUCUGUGCUUGUUGGCUCAAGUGCCCUGCAAUACGAGUAUAAUCUCUGUGCUUGUUGGCUCAAGUGCCCUGCAAUACGAGGUAAGGUCGGCAGUAGUAAAAGAAUGGUUUGCUCGAUGAACAAAAAGGGCGGCUCCCGGGUUGGUUUUUCCCAUCAACUAAAGAGCAAGGCUAUCAGGCCUAUUACGAAAAUGUCUUUCUCAAGAGCAAGAGCUAACACAACUCUUUUCUUUUUUUGUACUUCCCACGGUAAAGCGAAACGAUUACCCGAGACACUACACUAGCUCUUAAAAUGUUUUAGUCGUUUAUGAUCGAAGCGGAUUCUCUCUUCUGGAACCAUACAAUCUGGCUUGACUUGGAUAGCGUCAUGAACCGAGCAAAGGAUAUAGCAAAGGAAACACUUGCAUCUGGCUGAGGACUAAAUAUAGGAGCUCGCCUUGCAUACAAGGGGAAAAGAUGGAAUCUGGUAAAAAGAAAGUUCCGUGCCUAUAGUCAUUCCUUUAUCCAGUUCCGUGCCUAUAGUCAUUCCUUUCUAUGGUAGCAAUCUGGUCUCCAGUCGGUGGAGGAAGUAAGGCUUAGCAGUCCUAUCAGUGCCCUUAUGCACAGAAACAGUUGGAGUCAAGGCAGUCUGUGGUUUCUAAGGCCUAUAGGCCGGUCCUGUCAUUUCGUAUAGAUUUAUAGAAAGGGAGCGCCUUUAAGGCUUUCAGCACCUUCUCUCCUCCCCAACGCCGCUAUCUGUCAUCAAUUCCUUCUCUCCUCCCCAACGCCACUAUCUGUCCAAGGGGAAAAGCAAACUCAAGGGUACCAACGCAAGCUUCCGUUUUCAAGUUAGUUAUGAAUCCGAUGUGAGAUGCCUCGCCUAGCUUGAUUAAUAGCCGCCCGGGCCCAUGUUCUCAGUGCAAUGCAACGUGUGAAAUGACUUAGUCAAGAGAUCGUAGGAUACCGGCAAAGGCAGAAGGUGGAUACUCGUUGUUUUGAUUUCGCAGGUGGAUACUCGUUGUUUUGAUUUCGCAAUUCUAUUAUAUCAUAAGGGGUUGAAACACGAAAAUGAAGGUGCGAAGUUUCGAACAUGGUUGUUAUAAAGUUCCCUAUCUCUGCUAUUAUAGAAUAAGAAAGGAAAGAUAAAGAUAAUAAGAAAGGAAAGAGAAAGGCAGCACAUAUGAAUCUGACUCAAGUGGUCAUCGAGAAGAAGUCGAUUCGCUGAAGCAUAAACAGAGAAGGUAGUUUAGUUAACCCGGGCCAGGCCAGCCCUUAGCAUCUAAAGAAUGCGCUCUUCUCAAGCUUUUCAAAAAGGGGUGUGUGUUGGUUUGGGCAAUGGAAGGCACGAAUCAAACUAUCUAUCUUUAGCAUACGGGAAUCGAGCAGACAUGAUCAAUAAUGAUUCAGAGGACAAGGGCAGCUUGUUCUACCUUCGGGAUAAACGCUCUUUUCAUGGGUUUUUUCUUUGACAGUCUUACUGGAUUUUUAGUUGAUGGGGCAAGGCUUAGCAAAUAAAUAAGCUUGUGUCGGAAGAGAAGUAAGUAGAAAACAAAGCUGUUCGCGGAACCUGAUUGCCCUAAGUCGGAGUCAGAAUAAGGUUUAGGCUGGAAGACAAGCAACAGAUAUCUCGGAUGUUGCCAUUGCCAGGAGCAUGGAUGCCAAGAAUGCCCUCAGUCUAUGUCUUUCUAUAUAGGCUUUAAGGAAGCAAGUAAGCAUUAAAGAGGGGCUUUGUUGGACCUUCCGACCGACUGAAGGAUCUUUUCCGUCUUUCGAGAUGCGAAUAGAUUGACUAUUGGGAUAACGAAGAUAUGACCAUAUUAAAGAUCUCAUUUAUUCAUUUCAUAGAGAAAAGGAUUAGCUGCUUUCUGAAAAUGAUAGAGAGAGAACAGCGCUACCGCCAUGAAUACUUGACUCGCUCAUAACAGAAUUAGAACAUAUUAUUUGGAGUCUUGCAUUUGUAGGAGUUGCUUGGCCCUUUGUAGUAGUUGCUUGGUGGCUUUCAGCACCUUUAUUUUCAUGGAGCUCUUUAGAUAGGUAGAGGAAAGACGUAACUAGACGACCGCGCAGAAAGAGACGUAACUAGACGACCGCGCAGAAAGAAGAAUCUCUUUUAUAGCUUCCGAUUGCUAUGGAGAUUCCUAUGGUUUCUCUAGUUUCUCAGACUAUUAUGGAUAUUCCCCCAGAUGCGAGUUACAGCCUUGUAACCAAGGGUCCCUUACUUCACUUCAUGGAUCUUUAAGAAGUUCAAGAAGAAAGCUACGGGCAUAUACCCCAGCCGCGGGGGAACAAGUGCCACCUAAACAGCUAGAUUAUCUAUCUAUAAGCCUCGCAAACCCUUCCUUUGUAAAGGACCUUUCCCGCUUUCCUUACUUUCCUUCCUUGGCUAGUUCAAAAAACGCUUUUUCCAUUGUUCUGAUAAUAAGAUUAAUCAGAAUUGUCGCUUGGAAUAAUAGGCUUUGAAACAGAAAGGAGGUAGAGAAGCUCUGAGAUGGAAAGGAGGGAAGCUCUAAGUUAGGUAGUUAGGAGCGAAGGUAGUACGAGGCAGAGCCAAGACUCAUCUCAUGUGGAAUCAUCAAUACUUAAAGGAUAGAGUCAAACUCUUGGCAGGUCGGGGGGCAAGCUUGACUUUCACUUCGGGAAUAAUCAAUCUAGCUUUUUGAAUGGGGCGAGCGGUUCUCGGGCGAAUUCCUUCUAUUGGUCUUAUACUAUGGGUGGAUACAGACUCAGAGUGAGGACCCGUGCCAGCAACUCCUGUAAGCGCAAAUCAUUUAGGAGAAGUCAAAGCAUAACCCUGACAAGACAAGUGGUUAGGGCUUUCUUCAACUUACAGAGCGGAUCUAUACUCUUUACCUCGAAACUAGGAAUUUCACUUACUGAAACCAAAAGUGUUUUUUUCUCAAUGGAUAAUAUGGAUCUCGCACCAGCAAUAGAAUAAUUGAAGUACCCCGCUGCGCUGCCCCCUACUGAGGAUACAGCUACAUCACUUGGCUGCGCUGCCCCCUACUGAGGAUACAGCUACAUCACUUGCAACUUCAAUAAGUCCAGUGGAGAAUGUGCUUUCUUGUCUUCUCUCUUAGGGCGCAAUUCCAGAAGGAUAGACAGACCGACCGACCAUCUUCAAACCGACCAUCUUCAAUUUGAUCUAGAAUAAUAAAGAUCUGCAUAAUCAGGAUCAGAAAAAGAGGUCUUAUAGCUUCGAAAGAACACCGACUGCUGUAUAAACAAGGGAAUAAUACGCAAGGAGAGAAAGAUGUAAUGUUGCAAUGCGAGUUGACUCUAAACCAGAAAAAAGGGGAGUUCUGGGCUUGACGUCUACAGGUUAGAGUGUCGGUGCGAGUUGAGUACUUAAUUGAGGCGCUAAUGGAGUUUCCGCUUGAUCACAUUCCUUUUCUUUAUAGGCGAUAGGCGUGUGAGGGUGAUUCAAUUCGUAUGUUCGCUGUCGCGGCAGGAGCUACUGUUACGUGUUCUUUAAAUUCCAGUUUUCGUUCCUUUGUUCGUCCUCCCGUUCUCUCAUAUUAUUUAGUAGGUCCCUUGGUCAACAAUGCUAGACAAGCAGCAUAUAGGUUAUUUAUUCAUUGCAGCAUAUAGGUUAUUUUAUUCAUUGUUCAUUAUGAAACAAACUUUCUUGUUAAUUAUGGGGCGGUCUUUUACCUUACCAGAUUCAUUUGAGCGCCCAUAGCUAUUCAAUUUGGCCUCUUUCCUUUAUUCAGAUCUCUCCCUCCUAAUGUAACUAUCAAGAAUUUGUGUGGAUAGCUCGCAUAAAGAAAAAGGGGAAGGACACUGCUCUUACAGAAAAAGGGGAAGGACACUGCUCAUAAAGAAAGGGAAGGUACUGGCACUCAUAAAGAAAGGGAAGGUACUGGCACAGCUCUUAAAUAACUAACCGCUUUUAUAUAACUUACAGCUCUUAUCUCACUUAAAGCUCUUACAUAACUUACAGCUCUUCCAAAUUCUUCUUUGUGUAAAGGGUCAUAAAAAGAGUCUAGCCCACCCACCCCAGCAGUCAAGUACUAGUGCUAUCAAUUCCUACAGCUCAGGGUCAAUUGUGUAUCGAACCUGCAUACAGAUGUUUAUCAUAACAGCGUUAAGGAAAGAUGCGGGCUUAUUCUCUAUUCUAUGCUCUCCUCUCUUUUUCCAAUAAAGAAGGAGGGGACCCCUUUUCAAAGCCAUUUCUCAUGAAUGGUGGGUAUGAUUCUAUAACCGGUUUUUCCUUUCAUUCAAGGCUCGACAACGAUUGGAAUAGUGUUUCUUCUUUAUUGAUCUGUCUGAUGGAGACCAUUUAGAAUCCUAUUAGUAAACAGGAGCAUAUCCAACCUUUUGAAGCGGCGGGUCCUUCUUGAUUUGAUUUAUACUUGUGUUAUUUAUACUUGAUUGGAUUGAUAUUUGCUAGCUCUUGAGCUUUCCUAACCCCAUCUAUCUUUCUUCUUCUCUGGAUAAGGUUUAGUGUAAGGCCCCUUUUGACAUUCAAGAUAUACUGACGCAAACCUCUCGGGAUUUUAUGCAUAUCCUGAUUACCCUCCCACAACCGAAAAGGUAGAAAACCAUGUCUACUUUGCCUUUAUAGCAAUUCCUUUCUAGCUAUGCCUUUCUGGGGUUAUUGUCCAAGCGACUCUAUAUUUGAUAUGUUUUGGCCGCUCCAAGAUCAAAGGAAUUAGCAUGUUCUGGACUGCUUACUUCCAGAGAUUACACGAGUGUGUUCUCGCUUCUUCGAUAGCGCCCCCAUUCGAAGUAUUUCCACGAUCUUUUGUAGUCUUCAAUCCUUAUUUGUUGGUGUUUAGGAAGGGUUAAUGGCUUAUUAAUCUAUGAAGUCUAUAGGGUUAAUGGCUUAUUAAUCUAUGAAGUCUAUAUUCUCCCGAUCAUAGGUGAUAGAGACCCAUAAGAUAGGCAAAUGAUAGAAACCUAUAAGAUAUAAGGAAGAAAGAACGUAAAAGAUAUGACUUUAGAAAGCUCUGGAGGCAGAUUCUAUUGGCCUUUCAUUAAGCCUCCUUUAAUUAAGCGCUUUCCUACUCUUAUUUGUAUUUGAUAUUAGGCCACUUCCUGCAUAUUGAUUAUUCUAGGAUGAACGAACUCCUUACAUUCGAGUAUUUACCUCCUAUUGCAAUUGCUCUUGAAAACCUCUGCCUUGAGUCCUCGAAUACCUGCACCUAUUAUCAUGUACCGGUCGUUAAACCACACUGUAGAUAAUGCUUUUGCCAUAAAGAAAUCUCUAUUAAUAUUAGCAUCACUCGAAACUCACUAACGGAAGAAACAAGCAAACAACGAACUCCUAUCCGACACAAGAGCACAUGAUAGGCAAUAGGGACCGGGCACCCACACCUAUUAUACCUCCUCAGGCGAGGCACCCACAGUCGACCCCGUAACUACAAACAUGAUAAACAAUAGGCACCCCUGCCCCAGUUUGGAGCACAUUUGUAGCACACUGGCUUUGGCAUGAAAGUGUAUGUAUUCGUUGUGAUGCGGCUCCUCGACACUAUGCAAGCUACGGCAACUUUCAAGCUUUGUUUGCUCAGAGAAUUAAUACCUGAGUGACUUGGCCGUUGUUUCACCUCUUUUAAACGGAGCCCGCAAUGUAGCAGUAAAGAAUUGGAACUCUAUGACAACACUCGCACCCUCAGAUAUGAGUAAUCAGUACCAAGCAACACCCUAUACUUUCGAUCCCUUGUUUCGUUCCCUUGUUUGUUCUCCUUACUUUUAGAGUUGAUAUCCGCACAGCUGCGUUAAUUUGCUUGUUUGCUUGCUUCCCUUGCCUGUUAAGCUACCCACCCGGGGUAAGAGAGUAGUUGAUGCUUUUGUUGAAUAAAGAGAAUCUUGAUAGACUAAUAUAGAAUAGAGUACUUGCAUUAUAGACUAAUAUAGAAUAGAGUAAAGGCAUUGAAGCGUGGUGUGGGUUUACUUUCAAUGGGGAGAGGUUCUAUGAUAGGCUUUCCCUUGACUUUAUGAGUAGUGGUCCAAAGAAUGGCGCUCGCCUUAGGAGUUGAGUUAGAAGCAUUAUAUAGCUCGGCAAGAAAGAUUGAAUGAUUUGUUGAGUUCUGGUUUUCGGCUAACGUGCGUGUGGGUUAUUUGGAGUUUCAAACAAGGAAGGUCUAUAUGAACUCAAUUAAGUACUUAGCGCACCCAUAAUCUACCUCAAUCCUCUGAAAGUCAACUACUGAAGUCUUGUAUAAAGGUUCAAGCUAAAAGUCCGGGUAUCCUGAAUCAGCUGUUUCUGUUUUCACAUCAGAAUACGUUUUUUAAAGAAGCAACGUUAAGGGUAGGAAUAUUCAGGUAAUUAGAUAAGGGAAGGUAUCAUAUAAAUAUGGAUCUAAAGAAUAAGCAAGAUCGUCGGCAUAAGCAAGAUCAGAGGAUCAUCAGAAAGAGCAGAAGCUGAAUCAAAAGAGAAAUCAUAAGCCAAAGAAUCCGCUGUGGUGUCAAAGCGGUCAGCUGCCAGUGAAUAAGUCAAAGCCAGUGGUAAGCGGGACCAGACGGAAAGUUGUUGAAUUCGUCUUUGUUAUCCACGAGAGAGGCAAUCAACCAACAUAGAGUUUUCAAGAGAACGAGCAAGCAAGGCCAAAUAGUAAUAAAACAACCCCUUUUUGCGUCGUUUAACCAUAUGCCGCCGUUCAACGGAGCUCAUAUGAUAUGGCUAAUCUCACUUAUGGAAAAACUCCCCACUACGCUCCUAACGCGCACUACACUACGUUGCUUGUUCUGUCCUUUUCAUGCAUUUUUCCAUAGAGAUUAAUUAAGAUAGACCUCUUCCUAGAUAUUAAGAUGGACCUCCAUCUUCCUAGGUGCCAAUCAAUUGAAUUCUACUAUGGGGGUGCUAACGCGAGUUGUUGUUGCAGGAUGUUUUGUUACUAUCUUCGAGUUGUUGUUGCAGGAUGUUUUGUUACUCUCUUAUAAAAUAUGUCAGUUAUUAGCUUUUCUUCAGUUGAGCAUGAUAGGUGCACUCAAUUCCAUGAUUUUCUUCAGUGUUGUGAGUUUGUAGAGUAAUGGAGUCUUAAGUUAGGUUAAUCCCUUACAUGAGUUGUGCACUCACAUUCAAGAAGCCCUGAAACAUACAAAUGUAAGCUAAGGUUCCCCGAUAAGUCAUUUCUGUUUUAAAGCAAAGUGAUUAUAUUCAUUUAUUAUAGAGAUUAUCUUAUAUUCAUUUAUUAUAGAGAUUAUGAGUUAGAUUCUUGGAAAUGGAAUUCCACAAAACAAGUCAGAAGUGAGUUUCCGGGGAACAAGUAAGAACAAGAGAAGAACUGACAUCGGCCCACCCGAAGAAGAGUUAGGUAGUGAGUAAGCUGUUAGGUACCACAAACAAGGCAACAUAGAAUAGAGGAAGUAGUGAGUAAGCAGAACAAGCAACAAAGUCAGGGCAGUGAACUAGAAGCGCGAGGCCAGAAAAGAGUACGACACAGUAACGAGUUAGUCAGGAUGCCAAUAAAUCCGAUUUGCUUAAAGCAACGGAAAAAGAAGUAAGCUGUUUUGUGAAAACUCAGAAUUCAGUAAGCAGUGUUGUUACAACUAUGACAUUAUAGGGGGAGAAUAAGCAACGGAGCAAGCAGUAAGUAAUGUUCAAGCUUAGAGCCAGCAGUACAGUAAUAGGUGAGCUUUUUAGUUUCGUUAGUUUCUCAGAGGAACCAAACUACUAAUAAUGCACAAGUAGGGAUAGCAGUGCCUCUCUCUGCCUAUGUCCUUUACAGUGCCUCUUACCUAUGUCCUUUACUUUGUAUGGGGUUCGGCUGCCUCAAGUAGAUUCAAUUAGGCUUCAAUUCCCCGGGGCUCCUUAGCUUUGAACUCGCUGACGCUAGAACUCAGGCUCCCGAAAGCUGGAAUUGUCAUAACUCUGCGCUACUAACUACUAAGCUUGGCGGUUAUAACAAGAGGAACUCUAGCAGCCCUGCCGCUACACUGACUACGUUACUUGGCGGACUUGGUCAUAACUCUAGGAUACAGGACUUUCUAAUUCUCCGGAUCUGAAAUCCACUGCUGGCUCAACAAAACUUCAUUGAAUCUUGUUUGCGCAGAGAGAAUAGGGGAGGAAUAAUACCCGAAUCUAUACCUUAUCCCUUUUCUAUACCCUUAGAGUCACAUACUUUCCCUUAGAGUCACUGACUUUUGUACCGAUCCUGCUCUAGCUGAUCCAGAUGUAUCUUCUGCUAUUGUUUAGUUGACUUUACGGGGUGCACGAAAAGGGACAAGCAUAUACUACUGAAGAAUGGAAAACAAACAUAUUAAUUGAUGGGGUCUUACCAUCCGAGGAUAGAAGAAGAUUACCCAUUCCCAGUGUUUUACCCAGUCCGUCCCAGUUAAAGUUCUCAUGGAAAGCAAGAGAAAGAUGAGGAAGAAAGAGCAGUUCAUCGAUUAUUCUUAGACAGCUAAUCAACUGGCUUUCCCUACUUCCGCUUCCACCUCCGACGCUGGCAACCUUACUUGAAAGUAGGAUCUAUUUGAAUCCAGCGCUUAAUAAACCUCUGUUCCCCGAGACUGCCUGGCUUUCUCCGACCUCUAUUCCCCCUGGCUUCACCGAGACAGCCUUAUGGUUAUGGAUGGAACCGGCCUUGCUAGCAAUAAAAAGGCUUUCAGCACCCGAACACAUAGUCAGUAGGCAAACAACCAACUACUAGACCUCUUGCUCUUUGAACUCAGGCUCAUCUAACUCUGGCUACAAUUCAUUGAACCCUGAAAGUUGUAGUUACUCGUCUGCUUGUCCCUUCGUCGGAGUUCCCUGUUAAGUAGGUGAGUCCUGUAAGUGGGAGCUCAACUCCUAUAAGUAGUGCUUUUCUCCAGUUAAUGCCUAGCUCCAUUAUGGAUUCUUGUAUCAUUACUUGUUAUCACUAGUUCGAUUCGAUUCCGGUAGACGCUAUAUCUAGGCUAUGCCCCCAUGGAUAAAGAAUCAAAGCAAGGGUCGUUGGAGGUUUGCUGUUCUAUUCUUAUAGUUUGUAAUUGAAGAAUACACAUAUAGUAGAGCAGGAUCCGAAUCAGUGUUUAAAGAAAGCAACGACUACAAGUUAACAGUAUAAGAAUCAUAGGUGUAAAUAAGGAAUUUCGUUAUGACCUGUUUUUUCAUUAUCAACAGGAGUUUUCGAGUGAAAGAAGGAAGUGUCGAACUGAGAUAAAGGAUAGUACAAGUGAAAGCAAGGAGCGUAGGGCUGCCCUAUUGGGGGAAGUGAACAAGGCUAAAAGGCACAAGAUCGGAAGGCUCAAACUAAUACUAGUAAGAGGGCCUAAGACCGAAAGAGGGGAUUGUUAGAGUUGGAUUACCAGUUGAGAGUUUGAUCAACCCCCGCCGCUGAGGCAUUCUUAUACUUGCUUGCUCCAUUCCUGUUAGUAGUGUUUGGAUCCUUACUUUGAUGUUUGGCUCCUUGUUUUGUUUUUGUACUUGCUAGCUGUAUUCCGAAGCUUUCAAUACACGCCCACCCGAACUAAAAGAAAGACCGAUAAGAAGACUGGCAAUAGGACCAGUAAAUAAAGAAGAGUUGUUCCAGGUAUAAGGAUGCGCCUAAGGAAUACAAGAUACUGGUCUCGAGCUACAAGACAAUUUAUAUCAGGCGACGAGACCGCUUUGAACGAUACAAAGAAUAGAAUCCGGGCUUAACAGGACAGGACUGAAAUAAGAAAAAGGGAAUUGAGCUCUAGAGUCAGAAAUGAGCUACUUAUUUGGAUUAUUUAGAUACCGAUUCGGAUCCUGCUAGGUUUAGUCUUUCUCUCCUUCCCUUAAGUCUGCUAGGUUUAGUCUUUCUCUCCUUCCCUUAAGUCUGCUUUUCGCCCGGCUUCUCCUUUAUAUAAUUAUGACUUUACUUACUAUAGGGCUUAGACUCCCUACUUCUGUUAUGUAUUUCACCUUUGGAUUCUUAUACUGUUAACUCGAAAACUGACAACCUUCUACUCAUGCGUUACUCCUGUCAGUUAGUAACAAAGAACUCACUAGCUAUAAGUAAGUCUGUUACUACUAUCUUAGAGUCUUCCAUUACUUUAUCUAAUCCUUCAAUUGCUUAGGUUAUUUCUGUAUGACACCUUUCAGUAUGAAACUAAUGCCCUCAAUACCGAGUGAGAGGUAGCCCUACCUUAGCCAUAGAGUCUGUCUUUAAGCUAUUCUUCUUACGAAAAUGGUUUUCGCUCUUGUAGUUGUCCCUGCAAUGCCUAUAGCUGUCCCUGCAAUGCCUAUGUUGUUCCAGUUAGAAGCUACCCGUAUGAGAAGUAUAAGCACGGGUUCCAUUAUUGAUAGCUGCGGUUCGAGCCUUGUUAUCAUUAUAGGAGGAAUAAUAGGAAGCAAAGGGCCAAAAAAAGAAAGGUGCUGAAAGCCUAAAGUAUUAUAAGGCACCCAAACUGUUCUUUUAUAAUAGCUGGUAGCUGGAUGCGCUGGACACCACACCACUGGAGUUGUAGAAUGAAAGCAAGGUGAGGCAGGCCGGUAUAGGAGCAGACUCCACAGGGCAUUGAGGUAAGUUUGGUAAGGUCAGUUUUCAGAGUGAAAAGGGAAAGUAGGAGGCUAGAUGAUACUCCUCCAGGGAAUAAGAAGAUCAGUCUGGUUACUAUACUAAGAUCCGGGAGUAGGAGACCAAAGGCUAAUAGGUUAUUGAGUAAUGGAGUUUGAGUUUCAUCUGAUAGUGAGACAAUUGAAUUAGAAUCAAAGAGUUGUUGUAGUAGCUGUCUCUCAGGGUAGUAGUCGCUGUCUAUCCAGGUAGUAGUGAAGUCAUAGUUCCGAGCUCAAUUCUGCAAUGGUUCCCACACCUCUAAGGUAUUUCCUCUUUGUUGAAAUUAUUAUAGGUAUGAGUUGGAUUCCCAAAACACAUAAGAAGUUAUAUAUCCUUAGAACUACCCCCCUUCUUUCGCUUACCCUUAUAUGGCAAAAGUCAGGAUUGAAUUCCAUCCACUUAUUCCUUGAGCAAGUAAACUCGAACAGGCAAUUAUGCGUCAUCAGAUCCAGCAUCUUCUGAUGUAUACUUUUCUCUUGCUCCAUAUUAUCCUUAUUUCUUCGUCUGCGCUAAAUGGAAGGAGCUCCUCAAUUCCUAUAUUAGAUGAAAAGGAUAGAGAUGAUUUUCUUUGAACAACAGAGCCAUCAAAGGAACCAGCAAGCAAAGCGGGAACAAGAGAAGUUGAGUAAGCUGUAUCCGGAAUGGGAGUAGUUAAAGAAUAUAGAGUUGGUCGCAGGAAAAGAAUCCGGAUUAGAAGCUGUCCUAAAGGAAGCUGAAACCAAUGUAUAUAAUUCUGUAACAGGGAGAAUCAGAGGCUAAAGAAGCAGAAGACUCAUAAGCUGUGCUAGGAAAGUGUGUUUCUGUUCGAAAGGGAAGUGAGGGUGUUGAAGUUAAGCUUCCGUUUCAGUGUAAUAAUGAUUUGUUGACUUCAGAUCAACUGGCGCCUAGUAGGGGAAUUCGAAAAGUGUAGUUCCAGUUUCCAGAUCAGUAUCAGGAUCAGCCGAAAUGAAAGUACUCGUUUUGGGUUCUGCAAGCGGUGAUGUUGGCGAGACCUGAGAGAAAGAAAGAAUCUCUUGGGGUGCGAAAGCAGUCUACGAGUUCUGUUGCUGCCCGCUCGCUAACGGGAGUUUUUAAGUCAGAAUUCAUGAAUGGGAGUUUCUUCAAGUAGAGUUCCAGAAGCCAAGGUGUGCUAAUGUUGAGACAGUUGAGUGCACAAGCUAGUCUAUACGAUAAGAAAUGCAAGCUUAAUCAAGUCUAUACGAUAAGAAAUGCAAGCUUCAUAUUAGUACUUUGAAGCGGGGCCAAGCAACUGGGCAAGGCCCUUCCCUUAACUACUCCAGAAAGAGAUCUACCGCGGGAAAGGAAGCAGCAUUAGAGUCGGCAUCAGAGCCAGUAGGGAAAGGCAUAAGAUGGAUGGGUAAGAGAGACGGGCAUGAUGAUUACCCCUAUGGAUGACUAGCUUUUCCUUCUCGACGGGUGCUUACUCCAUUAUAUGGGACGACUACCACCGAAGGAGGCCUUGCCUACAAUGAGACGAGACGACUACUUGUAACAUGCUUCAGGGUUACGUAAAAAUCAGUCAUUCCUGUUUGAUUCUUUCCUCUCCCUUUCCUCUCCUCUUGAGCUCACUCCUACAGCACCUAGUAACAGACUGAGGGGGCCAAGCAAUAGUCUAGGCGCCAUCCCUUGUGUCAUCAGUUUUCCUAUAUGAGGAGAGUGCAAAUGAUACUAUGUUUUUUGCUACUGUGUGUCUACUGAAUAGAUAGGCAGGAAAGAUGAGUUGUUUUUCAGUGAGCUAUAGUGAUUAUGCCAAUAUGAAGUCAACUCUCUUCUUAUUGUCUAACUUACAAUAAGGGCCUCUCCACUUCCACUAAUCAGAAUUCCACUAAAGCAGAAUCAUUACCUGUUCAGCAAAGACACUACUAAUCCAGUUCCGGGUCCAGUGAGAGUUUCAUCCCCAGUGUCAUUCUUUAAUGCCUUAUUCCUAGUUGUUAGUUCAGGUCUAUAGUACACUGUUUCUUUCUGUUAUUAGUAGCUAUAGUAUUAGUAUUGGAUUUACUGGUUCAAUUAAGAAGCACCUAUCUCAUAUGAAGUGGACCUAGCCUUAAAGACAGUACCCGCUCACGCUUAUUCUUACUUCCUUGACUUUGAGUGUAAUAAGUACUCCCCUUUGUUUCUCCUACUAGGUUUCGAGGAAGGCAGGAUAGAUAAGCUAGGAUUAGAUGUGUCAUUUAGUCGAAGAGGGUAAGAUAUUGCCUUUAUGCCUGCGCUUUCAGCAAUACAGGUGCUUCCUUGCCUCCCUUUCCGUUUCCUAAGGACUGCCAGCUUUCUUGUUUGUGAUUUCCUUUUCUUAAGUAGUAGACUGAGUCAGAGGAGGAAGUCGUUGGGUGGAGAGGUCCGGUCUCUAGCGUCCUAUCUUAUGUCCGAAUUCUUUCUCUCUGUUAAUUGUCCUCUCGUCCAGUUGCUCAAGAUAGAUAAGCAAGGAGAACUUUGAUUCAGGUAACUCUAUGUUGCUCCGGUUAGUUCUGUUCUGUAAUCAACUACCUGGGUAAAGUAGCUCCUGUCGGUUUAGAGCAAGCAAAGAAAGCUCAGAAUAGAUUAGAUCGAUCAAGACUAGUAGUUAGUUGUUCCUACUUACCUGACUUGCUAGUAGGAAGCGAUGCUAUGGAACCAACCUAAUCCACUCUCGUGACCAUGAUCGAAGAUCAAUCCGGGGAAAGAGAUGAGCUUAUAUAUGAAAAGCUACCCGUAUUUACACAUACGAGGAAUCACUCACUAACGGACAAGAGAGCGACAAAUGAGCUUUCAAAAGUGCAAAACGAAAGGGUUGGUAGCUUUCGGCCUUAUUGAUCCAAUCACUCUUUGAGACUACUGCUUGUGCUUGGCUCAGCAUAGCCUUCUUUUUGAAAAGCUGACUGCUCAAGUAAAGUGAGGAAAGCGAAAAGCUGACUGCUCAAGUAAAGUGAGGAAAGCCUGAUCUGAUUUGGAAUCCUUUUUCAACGCCUUCUUUCCUGAUCGAUUCUUAGGGGAAUCGUAGGCCAAAAAUGGAUUCGUCAACGGAGGAUGCCUUUCAAGGAAAAAGUAACGACACCGCAUUCCCACACUUUCUCAUCUGUUUCAUAGAGGAGUGAGGCUGGCUAAAGCACCAAAACCAAUAGUUAGUAAGAGAGCGCCAUCAGGAUAAAGAUCAAAAGGGGGGGCUCUAGAAAAGAUGCCUUGAAGAGUGAAAAUACCGUAAGCGCCCAACUUCCACACAUCGAAAUAGACAGGUGAUCCUGCACGCCUAACCUAACUUUCAUGCACGGAAUCAACUGUGAUCGAAUAAGCUUUUUUAGGUAAUGAAGCCAGGUACUGAUUUGGGAAGUAACUGAACUUACUUAAUCUCCCUUAGGGAUUCGAGGAGCAGAAGGCUUACUAAGGAAAGCUAAUGACAUUGUUAAAGAGUAGGCAGAGAAUGUGCUGUUGUCGCAUGAAUAGGAAUAGGUUGUUCAAGAAUAAUUGUAAGACUCGCAAUUGAAUCAACUUCUCUUUCAUUCCUAAACGCUGCAAAAGAAAGACGUAACCGGUGUUCCACUUAUAAGGUUAACUGCUCUCGGAGUCCUAGCCGCUCUUGGCACUGAUUCCUUUCAAGUUAUGCCCUUAUGCCCGAUCCAAAUAUGCAGGGAGGUUUUCCUCGAAGAGAAGCUCUAAUAGUAGUAUGCGGACUCAUACUCAUCCCAGUGAGAGUGCAGGAAUAUAAUAAGAUGCUCUUUCAUCUCUUUGCAAUAGAUUGUGUUCAAAUAGCCUGGGCUCAGCUCCUGCCGUGCAACGACUGACGCACAAUAGAAAUCAAUUAUGUUGUUUUGAUUAUUUAUGUUGUGCUUUAGUGUCUUCUUGUCGUCUUGUCUGCUUGCCCCCGUCUUUGCAAUAGAAUGACUAACUGCUCUUGCUGCUAUUUCAUCAUCUGUGGCACUGACUUUAGGAAUCCCAGGGGCGGUGCCUAGCCUUUGCACAUGAAGGCCUUCUUCUCUAGCCUGAUGCGGGCGAUUCGAGUCAUCGAGAUAAUAGAAGUGAAUACCAUACAAUUGACUUGACUUGAAAUAUACUAUAUUGUGUUUUUAUAUACAAAUAGGUUUCUUUAACAGGAAGUGAGAGUGAGUGUCACGCGGAGUUACGCUUUGGUUAGGCUUGACUUGAUGAUGGGUUACAUAUAGAAGGGCUUAGUUAGCUAUGGAAUCAGAAGCAACUCCGGGCAGAUGGGAUGCCCCAAAAUAAGGCUUAUGCAACUCGAGCCCAGGCUUACUUGGCUUACUUGGCGCUCCAGAGACCAAAUCCUUUGUUUACCACUAGAAUUAGUAAGUUCAUUCUUUGACCGCAAUCCGAUCCUAUAGACUCAAUGAUUUUCAGGACUUGGUCAAACAACUAAGCUUGGUCUUACUACGUAGCUUGGCUCCUCAUCCUAUCUUCUCUAUCUAGCUCCCCUGAUCAUUCGUAUAAGUCUGGAGUAAAGAUGAUUCUUCUCUCUCUUUAAUAACCUAAUAAUAGAAUGGAUUAUUCCCUCCUUGGCUCUCAUUGAUUGUUUUUGCAAUACCCGACCCGACCGAAACAAAUACUUCUUUUAUAUCUCUAGCUCAUAUACUUAUCCGUAGUCAACUAAAUCCAUUCCCACUUUCACUACUUAGUUCAAUAGAAUUCAACUCACUCACCAAAACUUGAUAGCAAAGAUCUUAUUGCCCCAAUUCCCCUUAGUACUGAGUCUAGCUCCUGUACUUCUGGCUACAACUACUUAUGAAACUACGAAACUACGAGUUUGGGCUGUAACCCAGGGCUACUACUACUGUACUGGCACCCGAAACUAUACUUGAAACUAUACUUUCUACUGGCUCUUCUCUAACUGCUGACCUUGCAGACCUCGACUCAAGUCCUUUCUUUGUAGUUGUCGACUUCACUACUUCCCGCCUCAAAGCCUUAUACUUACUAGUGAGAUUCUCAAAUUCCAUUACUAGAUGCGCUUACUGCCGCUACGCAUUAGUGGUUACUUGUCUGGGCAUAACCAGUGUAUUUACUCGGUUCUCUACCAAAAGUGGAAACAGAUUCUUCACCGGAACCUCUCUCGUCGACAACACAAUCAUAAACUUCAACUCAAGCUAGAGGAUACCAGGGCAAAGGGCUGUAAACCCAGAUUGUAUGAAUUGCCUUCCCCUCUUUGCCUUUAGAACGGGAACUGGUGAUUCGAUUCUCUUUCUUACUUAACAGCUUCCCUGGCCUACCUCUGCUCUGUCAACAAUACCUUCAUUCUGACUUUCACUUAUGGGCAUGCGAAACAAUAAAGUUCGAAUUUAGCUCCUUCUCGCCAACCCCAGUGCAACUCAUAAGUAAGAAGGAUACAACUACUAAUAAGAGUAAGAAGGAAACAAGCAUGACUUGAAACCCACAUAUUGUGCAGAAGACUUAGAAUUCCACUCAGUAGUAUAAGAAUGAAACCGAUACUAAUAAGAAGAAGACCGGUCCCUUUGUUUUAGUGACUGGACUCAGAGCCAAGCAACGACAUAAGACGUUGUGCGGCAGCCAUAGCCAUGAAAUAGUGAAGUUAUAUUUAGUUAGAACCGCCAAGACACUGGGCAAGUAACUACGUCAGUUACGCGGGCAGCUAUGAAUACUAUUGAUAUAGGAUUUGGAGGAUGAAACUCUACUGUCAUUGCAGCCCUUAACCGCACUGCUUCUUUCUGCUCGAGUCGACAACUAAGGUAAACAAUGACCUAUCCCCCUAUACAAGGAGCUAGAGCCAAGACUAUAAGUCCUUUCUCCACGACCGACGUAAACAACAGAGGAAACUACUGCUCUGAAAACGAAAACAGCUGACUAGGAAUAUGGCCCCGUAUCUAUACCCAGGCUAACGUAAGCUUACUUUUCUUCAGAUCAAGACUUGGAGCCAAGAACUGAUCUCACUGCUUAUGAUCCUGAUCUUUCAACUUGAACUACACUUCCUGUUAGCAUAGCACACUCUGUAAACUCCCAAUCUAUCUUCUCUGGCAACUGACACUUCUCCUCUUGCAACUAGCUACUAGCAACUACACUGGAAACUUUACCACUACACUACUAUAAGGGAUGGGCAUUUCUACUAGUUUGGGCUGGAAACCUUAACUACUCUACUGGUAUUCAACUAGCACCAGAACAGGACAACUACUUUACUUAAAGGAAGGGGCAAUAACCAUACUUUCACAGCUUACCAAGCCGACACCUCUCAUAACCAUACUUUCGAACUGGAACAAGUCAUUCCACAAGAAAUACAGAAUACAGCGGGCUCUGGCUCUUACUAGCUCAACUCUUUAACUCUAGCUUAGCUCUACUCUCUACAACUACUGGCUAAGAAUUCCACCACUAGUAAGUAAACUACCCGACCCUCCGCCAAGUAAGUAAACCACCCGACCCUAGUACGAACUCUUUGGGAGCCCUCAUUUCGCCUAGAAGUAACUACAACUACAGGUAUUCACCAACAACAAGAAAAGUACUGGCAACCGAAACUCCCCUUUCUUGACUUCCCCAUAAGACUUCUGGCUACCCUUUCUUUACUUCCCCGACUAGACCUCUGUUAUUGAUUACUUGACUAGCUGCCCUUUAGCGCUACUUACUAUGUUACUUGGCCCGAGCUCUAAGUGCUGUUUUUAUUCUGAUUACUCUUCCCCAGUAGCUGGGAAUCGGUGGUACUGGUUCCAUUCUGUCGAGUAGUGGUUGCAUUCUGGUUAGCACUAGCAUCAAGUCCGAUUAGCUCAGGUUGAAGUCUGACUGAACUGCUUAGCUGCUACGUGGGCAUGAGCACUCUGCUUGGCUCCUACUUAAGAGUAUCAUUCUGACCUAGCCCACAACUAUUGAAGAGUAUUCUCCUUUCCUUGGCACUGACUCAGAUCCAGCUACUGAUCUUAUAGAUUCAAUAAGAACAGGAUAUUCUCCACUGUAAACUGGAACAGGCCGACAAGGAGCUACUACAGCAUCAACACUGGAACCGACUCACUACAAGCAGACAGCUUUCAAGUAUGGGCAAGUACCGUAUUUUGAGUUUCAAUAUAAAUAGAAGAUGGAUUAGUUUACUCGGCGCGGAAGGGAAGAGAUAGAUCCAAUUCUGAACUUGAAGUAUGGGUUGGGUCGGGAAGCUAAGGGAUGCAACAAGAACAGAAAUCUACUUUUUACCAAAACCCGUGUUUUUUAAUAGCCAAGGGGAGCUCCUGCCGCGGUUUUAACUCGCUGACGCGACACAUUAGUAGUGUCUUGUCUAGUAGUUCCUUGGCCCGCUAAUAGAUCACCAGAUUUCAAUGAGCUUUUUCCGUUUUCCCGUGUUUUUUCAUAGCCAAGGUAAUUUCCCUCCUGGACCGAUCUAUUUCCAUGAUCUUUUCACGUUUUACCGUGAAACAACACUGCCGCGUAACAUUCUGUUCCUUGGCGGGUAGCAAUCAGAUUUCCCCUGCUAAAGGGUUCCAUUUCUCCUCUUUUUUUCAUAAACCCCGUGUUUUUUCAUAGCAAAGCUUACUUCCUCUAGCUCUUUGAACUCCAACAAAACAGGAUUUCUUUCCCACUCUUGACCUUCCCUUCCUUAACUUGGCUUUCGAACCUAGACAAUUAAGUACUACUUUCCUAGAGAAUUAGUAGAGCUAGAGCAACAACUAGAGCUAGAGCACCAACCUCUUCUCUUAGCGCCUAAGCUUGUUCUUCACUUUCUAUUAUUAAGUAAGGCAACUCCCUUUCCAUACUUUAGAACCAGAACAGGACCACUACCCGCGCCCAGUAUAAGUAAGUAAACAAGCCUAGCCUAACAAGUCAGUAAACUAAGUAAGUAAACUAAGUAAGUCAACAACACUACCCGAGUAAGUAAACAAGCCGAUCCCUAUUAACUUCUUUCAACAAGCCCAGCAGCUGGCAACCGGAAUAGCAAACAGUCAAUAUAUUCUAACUAGUUGUUCCGAGUCCUAAUUCCAAGGCGUCAGGGCCUCUAGUGUUUCCUGGCAACUACUAAAAGCACCAAUUACCCUAAGCAGAAUCGAGACCUCACCACCCGCUAUAGAACUCAAAAGGGCUGUUUUUGUCUACGUUGCUUGUAUAGUAGUUACUUGCACUUAUUAACGCAGCUUGCCUAUGAAACAUCCUGUCCCAGAGAGUGGCUUUGAACCUGUAUUGAUGUUAGGAAAAAUGCCAUAGAACAGCUGAGAAAGGCGGAGAUAGUUGAUUCACAAAGUUAUUAGUCAAUUCCAUUCAAGUUGACCAGAGAGAGAGGAUCGGUGCUUAAUCCUUUAGGGGAGAGUUCGGUGCUCUAGCUCCUUUCCUUGUAUAGGGCAGAGGUGAUUGUGUUGGUGACGCUGGCAGAAGAGGAUUGAGCUGGGCAUAAUAGAGUCAGACUUGCUUUAGUUGCUAGCCCUUACUAUUAAAGGUUAACUCCUUCUCUUACCCUGCCUUAGUAGCUUGUCGACUUGGCCCUUAGUGACUUGGCCAGCAUAUAGGGCAACUCAGUAGUGAGAGUCGGAAUUGACUAAGGAGUUACAGGCUUAAACAAGUACAACUCAGAAUAGACUAGUGAACAGAAAGACUCAAACAAACACCGAUCAGACUCAAGUCAGCUACUAAGACACCUAACAACGCGACUGAAACCAGUAACAACUAGAAUGCAACUGGCAACUAGCAGGCUGAAACAAGUGCUAACCGGAAUCGAACUACUAACAACAGGACUACAACCAGUGCCACUAAGCCUUAAAAGCACUAACUCCAAGAUUGAAACCUGUGGGAGCUAUACUGGAACCACUAACAACCCGACCCGAGUCAAAGAAUUCCACCAGCCUGGUAUAUAGAAGAUAAGAUCAAAUGCAUUCUUUGUUUUCAUAGGUGCCUUCCCGCUCUAACAGAUUGCUUUGGGUAGCCUUCUUCUCGAAUUGAAAGAGCUGGAUCGGGAUCAUAACCCCUAUUUCUAGAAGUUGAACCACCAAGCCCCUACUCAAAUGAGGCUCUCUUCUCUUUAUAUUGGUUUCGGAGCUGCUCCUGCUGAUUCUACCUUUGAUGCCAAAGGAUCAGGUACUGGCUUUGAUGCCAUAAGUUCAUGAGUUGGCGAAAGGGGUGUCGCGGGAAGGGGAAUCCUCAAGAAUUAUUGUUACCCCCCGCUCCCUAUAAUAGUGGAAAAACUGUCGUCAACUGAUUGGUCCAACAAGAAAAGAAUUAAGAGCUAGUGAGGAAGCGGGAAUCGAAGUUGUAUCAGAAGCUGGAAGUAAAGGCUUUUUAGCGAGGUGUACUAAUGAGGGUGUAGUUAGCAGAGAUGAGCCAGUACUUUCGCAGUUUCACCCUGACUUUCUUUCUUUCUUUGUCUUUGAAGACCUGAUUGAGAGGAUAGGCGGGCAACCAAGGAAAAGAGGCUAAAUCUAAAGAAUCCCAGUUUGUUAGCCAAAGGCGAGCAGUAACGCAGUGUUCGAACAAGCAAGGAAGGGGGAGGGAAUAUAUAAUCAAUCCAAAAGUGAACAAGCCGACUCUACGGAAGGAAUAUGCUUAGCGCGCAGAACUCGCUAACUCCACUGAGCUUCCAAUCAUAAAUGAGUAUUGGUGGGGUAAGGGAAGAUUAUCUCAAUGCGCGCGUCGUGGUCCAAGCAUUCAAGGCUGGUCUUGUCUUCAAGGGGAGUUUUGGUCGGGGAAUAAUAAUAAAGUGACAUUUUCGUUUUCAGAUCAAGAUCGGAGGCCUGAAUAGAAGAUGGAUCUGGAGAUAAAGCUUUAGCUGUAGAAAGGUUAAGGGCAGAAGCGUUUCGUAGAGUUCUUGUUUCAUCCUAGUCCACUUCUGAAUCCGCAGUAAGAGAAUCCGCAGUGCCCGGAAAGUAGUAUAGAAUGAGGCCGUGAUAGCCUUAAACGAUAAAGAAGCCCAACUCUAUAUCCGCGUCAACAGAUUGUGCGGGCCUACUAGACCUGGCGCUCGCUCCAAUUAGGACUUGCUACGGAAACUCAAUUAAGAAAUGACCUUUAACACCGAGAUACAGAAUGGAACUUGAAAACACCUCUAAUUACUGUAUCCGUAGUAGGAGAAGUAUCAAUAGAUGUAUAAGGAGUAGGAACAGACUCAGUGGCUAAAGUUCAAUGGAAAAGGGAAGCAGUGUAUUUCUCUUUACUUAUACCAGAAGCUCGAGAGUGAAAUUGAUAUUCAUGAGUAGCGCCCGUGGAGGGAGUCCCUUGUUUAAAGUCACGUUCGAAAGGAAUCUUCAAGUUCCGUUGAGUGGGGGUAUCUUAUCGAAUAAGUAAGUAUAGAAUCAGAGGCGAAACCAGUAGUAAGAGAAUCCGCAGUGAACUAGGGAAGUCUCCAAAAGAGGAAUCCGUUGUCGUUUUGUCAACAAGAUCAGGAUCCGUUCUCAAGUCAGCAACAGCAAAAGACUCCGCUGUAUCAGUUUCAAGAUCCGAAGCAAGCAGGAUAAGAUCUUUCUUAUGCCCCUUUGACUUUAUUCUUCCCCGAUAACUACACUUUAAACAAAUCAUUCCACUUGCUGCUGCCCUUACUUAUAUUAGGCUUGAUCAAGCAUCUAUCUAAUCUAGCUUACUUACCUAAUUCUAUAUGAUACCUAUAUCUUUCAACAAUAACUCAAAGGUAAUAACCGCUUGCUCCUUAACUCUUACUUGUCUAGCCUGUUUCCUUGUCCUUUUUUAGAGUAAUGUUUCCGGGUUCCAGAAGCAACAGCUAAAGUCAAACAAUCAUUUCUUACUGAAUUCAUUCAUAGAAUCUCAAACAAUCAUUUCUUAUCUUACUACUUCAUAUAAUAAUCUAGGAAAGUAACAGAGCAUUGCCAACUUGAUCUUAUCCUAACGCCGAAGACAGGAAUUGACCUAGAAACUCCCGAAAAUCGGAAUCUUUCUUUUGAGCGGUCAACGUAAACAAAUAAGAAAACCCACUCUCCCUGGCGCCACAGCUUAUGCUUCCGCGGAUGCUUAUGACUAAUAGCCAGUACUCUUUGGAUUCAAGUCGAACAGAACUACUUGUUGCUGACUUUGGCAGAGCUUCCUCUCUCUCUUACAAAGGGAAAAAGUCAAGUCAAACAAAGAAUUCCAAUAAGGCGUAUGAAGCACCACUUACUUAAUCUAUAAGAAAGUCACUGGUCACCUCAACUUCACUUUAAGAACAUUGUCUUUCGUCGACAACACAAGCAUCGAACCUAGCCUGCGCAGGAGCAAGAAGUCAUCAAGUGAAAGGACUGGGCGAUUAAGAACCAACCCCUACCCCUAUGUCUUGUUAAUACAAAUGCGCCCUUAACUACAAGGAAGCCUUAAAUAAGGCCUUUAUGAGUCGUUGAACAGAGGUUUCAUGGAGCUAAUGGCAAAUUACCUAUCUUGUACACUUACAGUAGUUCUAAUGCAUUCAUUAUUUGAUUAUAACCGCGGUAGGAGAGUGAUAUUUCUCUUAGCCCUAUCCUUGCUCAUACUUUCUUUUUACCUUGAGCACUACGUUACGUGGACAUUUUCUUCUCGAGUCUAUUAUUCUUCUGUAUAGUGUAGGGGGCAACAGAUUGUCCUGGUUACCGCUUUGACACCGCUGAUUCCAUGUAGGAUGACAGUCUCACUUCUACACUCGCUUCAGCAGUUUCUCAUUCCAUUCCACAAUUCUAUUCUUCCUUUUGAUAGGCCAUAUAGGGAAAAACAACACUCUUUUGCGUCGCCUAUCCUUUUGAUUCAUAAGCUUCUGUAACGGAACUCGUACUCGUACAUUUGCUUCAAUCAAAUAAUCUUUAUCGGCAGCCCGCCCUUCCUUUGCUUUUUGAAUGAAACUCGAUUGUAGUAGACCGCGCAGUUCUUAGUGUUCUAGAAAGAAUAGGUUUUGUUUAACAAUCCGUUCUCGCACCGGUAAGAUACGAGUGAGAAACCCCUAAAUGAACACUGCUGAUUCUGUUGAAACUGCUUAUGCAUAUGCUGAUGACUUAUAAACUCCUUAACGCAUUUGUUUCUUGCUUAGUUACCUUGUGUUCGAAGCAAGCCCUAGUUAUAGUUCUUUUGCCGACCUCGACUGCUUACUUUAGUCUUACAAGUCCUUUCUUCAGCCGUUUGAUGCUUACUUGCCUUGAAACCUCACAGCUUACUUGCGCCUUUACUUAAUAGCUAUUUCGGAUUAUUCUUAUGUAGAGUUGCAGACUAGGAUGACUUUCUAGUUUAGAGAAGAAGCUUUUUGAGUAUAAAGGAAAGGAAUAGUCUCAAGGUUCGGUUCAGUUCCAGGAAAGUAUCAAGAUGUUGGCGACGAGCCGAGUAGUUCAUCAAAGAAAAGAGAGUGAGAGUUUCCGUUUCGUUCGGAACUUCCAGUGCUUUUCCAGAUUCAAGUCGAGUUCAAGAAGCCCUUCCACUUGUUUGAAUUGAAAUAAAUAAGUAACAUAUGAGAUAAUAAAGUAUUCAAAAGAAAGCUUGACUCAACAAGCAACGUAGAAAGUAUAGCUUGUUCCCCAAAACUCACCUAUUACUGCUUGCUCUGCUCGGACCCUUUCAUAGAGAGAGCAUUGAUGUCGUCCACCCUUGAUUUUCUAUACGAGACUAAGAGCUGUAGUCGGGCCAUUGUGAGGGUAAACUAAUACGGACGUUGCUUGUUCGAACUCAUAACUCUGUUCGUAUACUAGGUGAGCACUUAGGCUUUCGAAACUCCACCUCCACUCAACAACGUACUCAGGCGAAAUCCAAUCUCAAAUAAAUCAAAUGUUCCAUAAUUGAGUAAAACCACUGCAUACAUAAAAUCACUACCGCUAUAGAGUAGUCGAACUCCAAGAAUAUUACUUACAUAAAGAUAAUCUCUCUAGUAUCAUGUACUCUAGUAGAAUGUAUAGAAAUUGGAACCGAACUAGCUACUCCAAUAAGCUGCUUAUGCGCCCUAUCUUCUUAUUCUUUCUGUUCUGCUACCCCCCAUUUGAAUAAAACGAAAUCUCACUGACAACAUCUAUAAGCGCUAUACCAUACUGCGAAACUUCCAUCACCUAUUACAGCUGGCUCUAAAUCAGAGGCACAUCCCCAAUAAUAGAAUGGAGUCAAAACCCUGUUGACAUCUUACAUAGCAAAACCUCACUGCAUGUUUCUGGCGCCGUUCAUCUGUUUAGUGAGUAAAGCAUUAAACAUAAACCAAUGUAGGGGUGGGUAGGGAGAGUGUGAAGUCCCCAAAGUAUUGAGAAUGAAAUCCUUUAUAUAGUAUAGAAAUAAGUCCCCAAGGUAUUGAUAAUGAAAUCCAGAAAGAGAAUGAAAUCCUUUAUAUAGUAUAGAAUAUUCAAGUAAACAAACAGAACAAGAAGAGGAAGAGAAUUGAGGCCUUGUUGGUCCCGAUUAGGAUUGUGAAUUGAGUGAGGCCUUGCUCCAGCGAAUUACUAACAACUAGUGGCUUGUUCCCUGCAACUCUAUGAGAUCUAUGAUCCUCCAAAGGUAUAAGGCCCCUUCCAAUAAUCAGCGGUAGCAAGAUUGGACUGAGGACGGACCGCGUGUCCAACAUUUCUCAAUGGCCAGCUUGAAUAUUGGCAAAAUGUUCCAUAUCUCCAUUCUACCUUGACUUUUGUCUGUCGAGUUACUUCGUUCCUCCUCUGACUUUAUUGAAAUAUAGUGAGUCAAAUAUAAUGUACCCUUGCAUCCAAAUCUGGCACUACAUAACAAGUCAAUAAAAGCAGAAAAUACCGUAUGCAUAUUAAGGUGUGAAAGGAGUCUCUAAAAAGCUUCGUAGCCAUCAUAGCUUAGCGAGACUAAUCGCGCUUGCGAGAGAGCAUCGAGUGGGUUUACUUUAAGCUGCGAGUGCACAAGUGGGUUACUUUAAGCAGCGAGUGGGCUGGUAUUCUUGUAGAUGGGGGAGCCGUACCUUAUAAUCAAAAAGAAGGAUGUUGUGGCGUCAGAUGAUUGAGAAAGCAUCCGAGUAGAGCUUAGUUGUGACACCGGACGAGUUGAUAAAUACACACUGGUUAUGAAGGAACUAGCCGUGAAGGUGGGUGGGUUCCCGAGCAAUCAUCAUACGAAAACGAAAACCGCGUUUGGUGCUUGCGCGCGUGAGAUGAGAUCCAGUAAGCUAUCUAUAUAUAGAGAGAGCCAGCUGGGUAGUUUUGCCUCAUUAGGGAGGAAAGAUGCGCAUGAAGAAGCAAGCGGGAUUAAGCAGAUGCGCUAAGAAUAGAUGAAGCAAAGAUGGAUCCGCGCUUAGGGCUAGGGCUGUUAUUGGUCGAACUCGUCUUCAACGUGUUGAGGCCAUACUAGAAAGAACCACGCCCACACCGCUGUAGCUCUAUGGCUAUAUAGACGCAAUAGGGCACUAAGAAUCCACUUGGAAUUAGUAGUUUCGGUUCAUAUCGGCAGGAAUGAGCCAUUCUGUAGUACGUAGUGGCGAGCUUUCAUUUCCGUUCAGUAAGUAGGGGAACGGCCGUAGUAGCUAGCGAAUCCACGUAGUAGUUGUGUUUUGUGUUCUAUCCAUUCUUUGGGUGUGAAAGAAACCAGAAAUGGAAUUGUAAGUAGCUUCAUAUAUAAUAAGAAAGUAAACAAACUAACAAGCAACGGAACUCGCUAACGUGAGGGGUGCUUAUUUCUAUUUUGCUGUUCUUUCAGAGUUUAGGUCCUAUUACUCUGGAGACUCUUAAGCCAUUGAUGUCUGGAAACCUUAUUGUUGGCUUCUGGUCUUUCUAAAGAAGGCAAGCCUCGUGGUAGUCCCGAGAUUAAGUACUCCCGCAGGCCGAGCCCCCUUCUUCUAUACCGGAAAGCCUCUAACCCUUACCACUGCUUCUUGCUUUUCCAAUCCCUAUUUCUAUUAUAUCUCUAUAUAUAUAUUAUUUCAGAUAGAUUUCUACUUCCUGCCUUUUCCAAUCCCUAUUUUGUCCAUUCUAUUUCUGUAUUAUGAGAGAGGUGAUUGAUAGAUUCUUUCUUUGACCACUGAUAUGCGAAUGAUGCAUAAUUCUUUUCGUUCGCAUCGGAGGAGUUGCAAGCCGAUCUACCUUAUGCUUAUGUCUGGAUAGAGAAUUGGAUUAUGGCUCCGCUUUUCUUGACUAUCCCGCUUUUCAUUACUUUAGCAGGAUAAGAAGCAUUUCGGGAGUCAAUACCUCUCCUCUUCCUAUUCCCGAAGCUAGUAAGAGUAAUAAGGUCCCAACUCAGAGUGUUGUUCUUUUUUAUGAUAUCGAAGCAAUGUCGUAUCCAGCUCCGUUCUAGUAGCGGAAAGAGAGAUCGAGAUGUGAGAUUCCGGGAUGAGUGAAGAACACUAGCAGCUCAGCCGCCCUAACGGAAAAAGGACUUGGAAAAAGUUGCAGCGCCUGACGCUCUUAAUAGCCUAAAGUGAGCUAAAAGCGCUAAAGGAGUUUGGGCUUGCCCUAUGUUUCCAGUUGAUUUCUUAAUUCAAUGCGCUAGCAAGUUCUGUAUUCUGGCCCUAUGAAUAUCUUCUCUUAUUAGAAUGCGCUAGAUCGUACCCAAAGAGCCAAGUAACUACUAAUGACCAACCCACCACUACUAGGCAAAACGGGACCUAAUCAACUUGCCUUAUAAUGCAUUUAUGACUAGAAGAUUUAUGGUCGAAGAAAGGACUUGUACAGGGUUUGAUGCGGGGAAGUGGAGAAUUGCCUGUUCGAGGUAAAGUUUCAAGGAAAGGUGUUGUCGACUCUCAAUCGGGAAUAAGAUAAUAGUACUCGGGCUUGCUUUGAAGGGCAGAAGAAAGUAUAGGCUUAGUUUCUAGGUGUGAGUGAGCGAGAUACUUUUCGUUCCUAUGGUCUACUGCUUUAAGGGGCGAGGGAAAUCGUGAGAGAACAGUCUUCCUUCAUCUGCUGCAAUGAUUCUUUCCUAUGGAUAGAUACCAUCGGUGAACAAAUGAAAUGAUGGAUUUAGCUUAUUGAUUGAGAAUUACCUCUUACAGAUGCACAUAUAAAGGAAGAUAGAUCGCUUAUGUCUAGGUCGCCCCGCUCUCGCUUUGCUCUCCCCUUGACUUCUGUCGUUGGACUACGCGCACAGGAUCGGUUUCAAUAAUGGCUGGAUCAUUCUGCCGCUGAAAGAUCACUUAAUCACACACAAGCAAGAUGAAGUGCUAUUCCACCGGUGAGAAGAGAAGAACUGGUACUUUAUGCGAAUAUUGAAGAAGCGAGAACACACUCGUGAUAAGGGCGGAAUAAGGGUAGCGGUAAGUCUAGACUACUACUUUCAGGGGCCAAAAGCAGGUUCACUCAGGACUACUAUACUACCUUUUGUUUGGGAUUCCACAACUAAUGAAGGGGAGUUCGGUGUCGGAUCGGAGUGGGAAUGGGAAGUAGCUCCCAAGUCCUGUGUUUGGGAGUUAGGUUAGUUGGUAAAGAGAAAAGAUGCUGUUCUAGACUCAACUCGCCCCCCUUCCGGCUUGGCACAGCUGAAAUUCCUUUACUAUAUGAUUUCUUUUCUUUUGCCCACCUCGACUCUUGCAACUAAUACCUCCUCGCCUCUUGCAACUAGCUAAUCUAACCCCUUAACUUUAAGCUCUUGAUGAAGAUACCUCGCAAGUUAAGAUAGUAUGACCUGUGCUCUGAACCAACCCAGUACACUUUCUUUACCACCUCUCCUCUGUAAACUAAUGCCAAACAGGUCACCAACGUAGGUAAGGGCUAAGUAUUUGAUAUAACACUAGCAAACUGACUAUACGGGCCCGAACAGGAUUGAUUGUCUCUCUCGAAGCCAACUACUAGAGCAGCUCUCUCCUCUGUAAACUAUUCAAAGAAUGAGGCUCUGUUACUUGGCCCCUACUAAAUGAUAGAUUCUCUUUAUAUAUGAGAUCUUUAUAUAUGAGAACUUCUUCUAGGAAAAUGGAUAAGUAAGAUCAACUACUAGGUGGGUAAGGCUCGUAAGCUAUGAAAGUCUAGUUAUUGCCCCUGAAAGGAGUAGUCCAAAGAGUAGAGGAAAGUUUACUUCCAGCCUAACUAUUGAACUCAGUAGUCAAAGAACCAAGACACCAAUAUUGGAAGAAAAAACAAUCAAUGAUCAAAACCAGAAAUCAAGAAUAUCAGAAUAAAGAAUUCCACCACAGUAUACACAUAGUAGGGGAAAAUAUAUAUCACUUUAUUAAGGAAACUAGAUUCCACUCAGCGGUGGGUAAGAAUUCUACUCUUAAGUAGGAGCCAAGCAGAUGCAAGCGGUAAGGGAGUUCAUUCAGCAAGUAAGAAGGGCGAGCUACUAUAGAGGAUCCAAUGAAGCAAGUCAGAGUUGCACUCAGUAGUCAAAGCACCCGAAACAAGACUGGAAGUGAAGAAGUUCAGAGCAGAUAUAAUAAGUGGCACAGGAACUAGUUAGAGGCUUUGAAGCGGGAAGAAAAGAAAAGACCCAUACUUAAGGGGGAGCAGCCCUGCCGCGCAACUUACUAUGUUGCUUGGUGGACUUGUUCAUAAGGAGAGGGAACCAUGUUUAUAGCACCGGGUCAACUAGGAGGUCAGUCUUAUUGUUAGGUAUCUUAGUUUAGUUGUUAGUGGUUUCAGUCGAGGUGGGCAAGGUCAGAAACAGAAUCAGGGUAAGGGGAGUCGGAACAAGAUCUGAAGCCGGGUGCUCGAUUUCGUAUGCAAGGAAAGAAAGUCAAUAAUGAGUUCAAAGAGACAGCUCUAAAGUGAAUGGUUAUAGUCUUCAGACCGGGAGUACUGUGGCGUAGUAGUACUGUUGCAUCAGUAGUAGGUAGUAGCCAUAGGAUAGGUAGGCAAGCUAGAACAUCUAUUUCCUCCCCUGGUAAGUACUGUUAGAGUGUUAGUGUAAUCCCGGUAGUCCAGGUAGUACGAGUUGACAGAGGAGACCCCCCUAGCUCCUGUUCGAAAGUGUAGUAGGCCUAUUCGCCAGUGAGAAAGAGAGAAGCAACAGAGAGAAUAGUUAGAAGUUGCCAUAGCUCGUGGAGUCAUAGGUAAUAGUCAGCAUCCCGUAUUGGUUCAACCAGUAAGCAUCUAGUAUUGGUAUGAACUCUAAGGUCUCGAUUCCCCACAUCUAGGUACUCAGUUCAUUCUUUGCCAGUAGUUUAGAGUUGCUAGUUUGAUUCUGAUUAUAUGUAAACUAACCACUCCAGAAAUGAAGUAUGUAGGGUUCAACCUGAAUUCUUCUCCUAGUGAAGUCAACUCUAUUCUCUACCUUUCUUACCUUGAGCAAGUCUAUAAGUAACAAGUACUAUCGGUAUUCAACUCAAACUAACUAACUUGUAAUACUCAUCUAACUCAGGCAAUAGGGUGCUUAAUACUAAGAUAGUAAAUGAAGAGGGGCACUGGUAUCAGGCUUAGAUGCCCUGGGGUUAAGGCUGUUACUGACCGGUUUCAGGCUUAGCCCCUACCUUACACAACUCUAAACUCCCCUCUCUGACAAGGAUAAGAACAAGUAGGAAAUUCCAUAAGCAAUAAGUGGUAUGGUCUGCCCUGUAUUAUAGGAGAAAACGGAAUUAGAAGCUCUCUUAGGUGGACUUCUCCAGCUUCUGUAUCAAAGUAGGAAUUACUGAAUUUCACUAACAACUAGUAAUAAGUCAUUUAAGAAUUCCACAAAUAAGUCACAGAAUUGACCUCCUUCUCGCCAAACUCCCUUUGACAUAGAUGCUUGCCCGGCCUGGCCUCUACUUAGUCAACUCCAUUCUUAUUGUCUGCCUACCUCAACUCAAGCUUUCAUUAUAUAUUAGGCCCGCUCUUGCUUCUGUUGUAACUACUGAUUCUCGGGUUACUCCUGACUCCGCCUUCUCUUGGGAGUCCUGUCUUCAUGGCGGUACAACAGGGCACAGGAAUAGUUGAAAAGACUCUCACUUUAUAUACCGAUCUUUGCUUCACUGGCUUGGGCUUAUACUCCUUACUUCCGUCCUUACUUAUGCGUAUGCGCUUUAGGCUGCUACUGCUUCAUCUAGGUCUACCGCUCCCUGCUGAUAAAGUCAGUCUGUCGUUCCCUUAGCUUGGUCUACCUCUCUUUGUUUUGAGUAUUACUUUCCUUACUAGAAUUCUUUACUUGCAUAUUCAAUCUUUCGGGCAGGAAUCCGACUACUCACCAAUAAGACUUACCCCACUCACCGGGGGAAUACGAAUACUACUAUGGAAUACAGUAACCUAUGGAAAUACUAAUACCACCAAUAAGAGUUGAGCUUGGAACUAAGACUUGCACUAUUGAUCCGGGGAUCCUUACUUAUGAGGUUUAAGACCUUACCCUGUCUUUUAUUCUUUCACUGCAGGAACCAAGGCAGCCCCGUUGUCCACUUCAUUAUUGUAUUGAUAGCGUGAGUAUGCCACUAUAGGAACAUGAUCCGGAUGCCCACUACUGAAAUUGAUAUGUGUUUUUUCAUAUGAUAUUCAAUAGUCGUUUUCGUAUAGUAACUAGGUCGAAAAGGGUGACUUUUUCUUCUCUUUUUGGAGCCAAACAACUUCUCUUUUUCUAUUGGACUGGACGAUAGAGCUCUAGUUCCGGCUUCACUGAAGGAUAGGCGGGCCAGCAAUAUGGGCAAGUAGUUUACCAAGGAUACAAGAUGCCGGGAACCAGUAAUAGAAUAAAAGUAAGUGAAGCAAGAUCCGAGGGUAAUAGGCGAAGGCCGGGAAGGCGAGACAUACAUUCACAUUAUGAGGGCAGCUUUAGCUGCCAGCGAAUCCAAGUAAUUAGUAAAAGACUUUAGUGUGCUAGGGAGGGAAUUCCACUCUUAAGUAAGAUACAUUGGACUGGGAAUUAAUAAUGGAACUAGGACUUCUCAGAACCAGCACCCCAGAAUACAGAAUAUACUUACGCCACUGAUUGAUGAGAAUCGAAACACCCGCCUAGCCUAGCAAGACCAAGAAAGUAGGGUCUAAUUAAGAGUAAGCCUGUUUGACUGCAGCUAUAUUAUAAAAAGCAGUAGAUCAAUUCUCUGUUUCGAGUUAAGGUCUCGCCAGAACCUAGAACUAAAACUACCUGGCAAAGACAACUGCAAUAAAAAACAACAUAUAGUAUAUUUAUGUAGAGUUCUCACUUUAGAUGUGUUCGGCCAGUCAGUAAGUCGCCGUAGAGUAUAAAGGGCCCUUUACUGACUCCAAGGCUACCUUGCCUAUCUAUUACUCUUGGACUUAUUACUUCGAUUCUUCUAACACCAACUAUAGGCCUUCUCCCCUUCCAGUACUUGCAUUAUUUAUUGAUAGCUCUAGUCUGCUACUCCUCUGUCCCAGGCUUGCCUUACUUUAUCUAAGACUUACUUGUUUGACUCUAUUACUUCACUCAAUAAUCAUUGUUAGUCGAGUGGUUGUUUGGCGUUUAGUAGUGACUUUACCUGUCCUCGAUUCGUUAUUUUGUUUCCAAGGCUCUAACCAAUACAACUCGGCCUUAUACCCCAAACGGAGAAGCCAACUACAGCUCAUAGGGCUUUCAACCUCAACUAGGAGCCCUACUACUAAUAUCAGACCGGAGCUACUGGUUCUAAUACAAUAUCUGGGAAUAAAUCAACUUUCAGCAAUACUACUCGGACCUUCCCUAAAAUCUGACUUGCAAACUUCGACUCCGCUCUUGCAUUCUAUGAUUGUAGCUUCAAUCUCCUUUGCGCGGAUUGCUAGGAACUACUGGCCCGGGUAUGACAUGACUUUCUCUUUAUAGAAUAUAUAGGAUUGAACUGGCGCUAACAGGACAAUAACUAGAACCUGGGACCUCCUAGUAAGCAGGAACCAAACAACUAUACCGGAGAAUUUCGCUAAUAAGUAUAGGAUCUAAGUGGAAACAAAGGUGCUACUUAUACUUAAAUGAACAACUGGGGAUCGAACACUGCCUAGCAAGACUCUCACUAUUGCUUUUAGAGUACAACCACUAGCGAUAAGAGUUGCCCCCACUAAUUAGACUCCUUUAUCCUGUUAUGUUGCUAGUACCCUUCAUUCUAUAUUCGUAGCUUCAAACUUCUACUAGUAGCUCUUGACCUGGCAUUCCUUGGUUCUUAUGCUCCUCGGUGAAACCAUUGCUUCCGUGUUUUAGUAUGUAUUACUUCCCUUUCUUUCGUUCUGAAACUCAAUACUUGCAUCCUAUCUCCUAUGUUCGAUUGUCGGCCUACUACCAACUUACUCCUAUCGGAAUCAAACUAGGAAAUCCACUCGGUGAGCUCAACCCGGGCCAAGCAAAUAAUACUAAAUGAACUAAACUCAAAAAGGGGCCAGAAUAUUAAUGACACUACAAACAAGACUCUCGCAGCUGGCUUCCACGAAGAAAUAAAAGAAUACAGAAUUGGCUACUUAUUCCACAUGGCAUAUUUCCUAGAUACAAUACAGAGUAGCGGUAUUUACUUAAGCCUUCCUUUCAGUCCCUUGUGCCCGAGUUGGUGUCUAGCACCUUUCCUAAUAAUAAUGAAUUGGAUCACUGCUCCCUUGUCUAUGUGCCUCACGCUACUUACGGAAAUUAUGUAUUAUCACUUUUGCUCUUCUACUACUAGCUACCAGAUUGAACCGUGCCUAACAGACACCAGUGUGCUCUCUAAGACGACUUUCGCCCCGGCUAAUCAGAACAACGUCAAUUGUCAUAGGGAAUAGGAACAGUUACAACGAGACUUUACUGGCGGAUACAGAAUUCUACUUGUAACUAUAGGGCUGAUACUGCCGAUAGAAAGAUGGAAAAAGGAAAACAGGAAUCCAAUUGACUACUCCGCCAACUCACUCUUACUUUAAUGCCUAUAAGCCUGGCGCGCUACUGACUUCGAAGCUGACCUUAACGAACCAUACCCAUAAACUCCAUUCUGUAUUUCAAGAUUCAGUAUUACAGGACCCCUGGCACACCCUUUGACUAAUGAAUUGGAUUUUUGCUUUCCAACUGCCAACUAAUGGUUUCUCGUUCUUGAGCUACCGGCUUGGAUUCUGUAACUGGAAUACUGGGUAUUGUAUUUCACUAUUACAAAGUAGAACUGAGCUACUACUGAUUAGACUGCUCCACCACUAUAUCAAUGUUUAAACACAUUAUUAUUAAGUCAAUGAAAUAAGGCAUUGAAGAAAUCCAAUAUAGAUUCAAGUAAGUAAGGGAAGGCUAACUGGCAGAAGGGGCAGACGCAGACUCGGAUAAUAUGCAAUAAGUAUGGCAUGUCGGGGGGAGACAUUAAUAAGGCUUGGGCUACUCAGCGCCAUUCUUAGAUUGGUGAAUUGACUUCUGUAAGUCAGGUUUUGUUCCAUAGUAAGUUGAAUCUCUUAGAGCGCUGUUCUACUCUUUGACUACUCGGUUUCAUUAGAACUUUACUACUUGAAAGAGAUAUUCUAUGGUGGAUUUACAACUUUACAGAAAUAGGCAUAGGUGGGCGAGAAAGAGUUCCUACUCUAGUUCUGGUUCGAGUUAUCUUCUUAUAGUGGGUAGUGGAAUUUCUAUUGGGUAGUUUCAUAGUAUUCUUUGCUUGUAUAGUAGUUACUCGUCGUCUUGGUGGUCUUAUUUUGACUAGUUGAAAUACCGGGUUAGAGUUAAAGCUAUUAGGCUACGUUCUUUUACUGCCUUCCUUGAUUCUAAGUUAGAGUUAAGGUCCCAUCCGUACUAGCCAGCAGCUGACGCUGCCCUCUCCUUAUUAAGAGCAUAGUUCUCUAGGCGCCGCCGCUUUGUAAUUCCUUAUUUGAAGACCGGAUCAGCUGUUAAAGAACGAAAGCAAAGAGAUAUGGAUGUCGUGUCCGAGUAGUUGGAAUCAAAGUAAAGGUAGCUAGACUUAAAGCAAGUAAGGAAAGGCUCACUUCUGACCUGAACUAAGUAAUGUUAUGUUAGUCGCAGUUGGAUUCCUGCUUGAUAGAUUCGGUCUUGGAAGUAAGUGCGAAAGCCUGUUAGAGUAGCUUGCCUCUUGUUGUCAGUAGAUUGAUUCCUCAUUAAUAGAGAGAUUACCCACCUAGGAGAGAAGCCUUGUAAGCACUAGUAGAAUUCCCUAUAUGGAGUUAUCGUAGUAUAAGCCUAUGAGCCCGACACCCAUUCUGACCUUCCCUGCCUGAAAUCUAGAACUAUCCAUUUGCAAACUGACAUUGCUUGAUCUUAUUCUGACUAUCCGAUAUCCGAUUCUGACUCGCUAGGUUGAGUAUCCUUCCUGGGCUAUCAACAACAUAAUUGGAAGAAAACCACCACCAACAGGACUUCCGCUCAUACUACUUUGAUUUAUACCUGGGCCAGCAAUACCUCAAUUCUUGACUACUCUCUUAGGAAACCAGUUGUUUGUCUCGUCUUCUCAUUCUUUAGUUAAUGAUCGAUCCGUUUUACUUACUUCAAAGCUAAGCUGGCUUUCCUUUAUUUACUCCGAUACUAGUACCGAUUAGACUUUCGCUAUUGAUCUCAAAGCUUGCUCCACUGGCUAUGUGCCUCCCCUUCCCUUCCCAAACUCUGACUCCUAUGACCUUCAAUACCUGUGUUAGAGCAUCAGCCUGUAGCAACUGCCUAAAAGUCUGGAAGUUAGUCCCUUCCUACUAGCUCCCUAGGCGCUCUGACUUGAACUCCCUUCUUGCUGUACAUGCUUUCAAUCUUAUAUUCCUUUCUCUUGGCCUGUGACUCAUACCUUGUUCUCCGCCUAUGAAGCCUUACCUCAGCUAUUUAUCUACUGAAUCGGAUCCAGCUUAACACUAUCCUUCUGUGCUUCCAUUCCCGGGCUUCCACCUGUCACCUGUCAUUCUUUAUUCACUCAUUAGGGCUUAGACCUAGGCCUGUCCUGUUAUUCCUAUACUAUAUAAAUAAGUAAAAGAGUGAACCUACCUCUCGCCCACCUACGCACCCCUCCCUAUGAAAAGUAGGAAAUACACCUAUACGCCUAUGCCCCACCAACGAAUGAAACAAAGAAGUCAGACACUCCCCACCCACUAACUCGGGCUAACACACCGCUAACCGACUUGAACUAGUGGGCAAGCAACGUACAAUCAACGUACAACUAAGUAAGAGCCAAAACAAGUAACAACUAGUCAAGCACGGAACGAGACCAACCCUACUCUACUAUAUUGCAUUGCGUGUAUCAAGGGUAGAGGUUUGAUAUUCUAAAUCAGAAUGAAAUCAAUUACUUUAGAGUUAAUCCUAUGUGUUUAGCCUGGAAAUGCAUCUAGAAAUGUAUAAGUAGAAGAUCGAAGCGGAAACAUCAGAAGUUCACUCAGAAGUAAGGAUACCUCUGUCUAAGUAGACCAAUAAUAAUAUAGCGUACACAUAAUCAGAAUUGAGGCUUAACUACUUAACUUAGGGCCGAUGUAAUUGAGCCAACACCAAUGAGACUAUAGCCCAGAACUUGUACUUCCCUUACUGCCAUAUAAAGCGGCCCUGCUCCACGCAAGAUAAGGCUAACUGCCCUCACCUUAAAACUGCAUUUCAUCUUCGAUUCUUAUAAUGUAAACAAAACUCUGGUCUAUCAGACUCACUACCUAUUCACUAAGUCUCCCUUUUCUAUAUCUCCUUCUGUUACGGGACCCACCUAGUGCAUCUAACAAUAGAUUAUAGCUCUACCCUUACUUGCUAGAGAACUCAGCUUACUACUAAAGGAAUGACUUCUAUUUAUAAGAGAACAACUUGAAAGUCAUAUUGACUUGACCACCAACAAGACUGACUUUACUAGCGGGUAAAUCCACUGCUGCUAACAGGGCUUUUGUUAACUGCUAUCAGAGUACUACGACUACCAAUACUGGAACUGGAACCGGGAAUCCAACACCCCAGUCUAAUACCUGGAACAAUAAAGAAAGAAAUCCAUUAGUGCUUCUCAGAACGUAGCUACUGCCUAUGAAAGAAAGCCUACUGCCACUAAAGAGCUUGAAGUCCUUGGCCACCUUCUAUGGUUCUUCAACUAACUAAAAACCAAGAAAAGAACAAAGAAAUUGUACUCGGGGAGAUGUAUAGAGACUACUCCAGCCGGUAUAUAGGGCAAUACUCACUACCAAGAGCAAACAAAGCUUUAAAGCAGUAAUAGCUUGCAAGGUAGACAGGAGCUGCAUCGCAGUACACGAGUACAUACACAUUAACGCUCACGGGGGUGUAGAACAAAUGUGCUCCAACCAUCUUGCAGAGGGGGAAGUCGCUCAUACCGAGGGAGAUAGCCUAUCACUCUUAGAAUUCGCCUACGUACCUCUAAUAAGCACCAAACGGAUGAAACUCAACCUAACCUAGCGCUUCUAAGCCAACAACAAGAACAGGAACAGCCAAGGAAAAGAGGUACGCAAGGGAGACAAUUCCAUAUAUGAAGAGCCAGAUCUUGUAACUUCAAUUGACUUAAGGGCUUGACUUGCAACUUCAAUAAGAACAGGAACAGGGGAUUCCACUCCUAAUGAAAGGGAUUCAACUACUCUACUACUAGUUGGUGCUGUCAACCAGUUCAGUCUCUUCUUAUAAUGUAUUCGUUGCUUGGCCUUUUCAACUGAUACUGUCGAUAAACAGACUCGCGAACUACUGCUACCAAGUCUCCCCUCUCCCGCUUCCAAUCUAAUAUUAAUGCUCAUAGGUCUGAUUCCGCUGCUAACAAGACUUCUGCCCGUGUCAACAAAACAAUGCUUGAACUUAUAACCCUUACUGUGUAUCUAAGCCCGUAGCUAAUACCUUUUUUCACUAUGCCUUUCCUGCCUUACAUGCUUUAACUAAUGGUCUAAUUCCCGUAGUUCACCUCUCUUAGCUUAGCCCACCACUCCUAGCUAUCAAACUGAAACUAAGGCCUUACACUCAUUCUUUUAGUGCUUCUUUUCAUUCUGAUUCAGUUAACUUAUAAUAAUGCAAAUAUUAAUUAAUAAUGAGUAAUCUUGCGCCGCUUACUUGUCUAGUGUCUUGGUCCGAACACAUCAGUCACUGACCUAAAGCCUGACUCACCGGGUAGGCAACCUAGAACACCGCUCCGCCUUAGUGUCUUGCUUAUUAGUUUCAAACUAAAGCUGGUACUUCUUAUACUGUAGCUAUUGAUCUAACCAAUACCGGUAAGAAGCACACUCAUAACUAGUAAAUCACUACUACCCAGAUAGCCUUAACUCAAAGACGGCAAUCCAACAACUAUUGAUGAGACUGUAGCUACUGACUACUAGAUAACACUACUAAUAUAUGGAAUGCACGACUACCCACUAGAUCAAACACUGCACUAUGGAAUUUGGAGCUGCUGCUGAUGAGACUUGAACCAAUGCUAAUCAGAACGAAAACACCUGUAAGAAUAGCUAGCCUUCUAAGACAACCUAGUAAGCCCUACCUCCUUUCAGCAAGUAAGGGCAAGCUCAUAAGGCAAUAGAGCAAGGAUAGGGAUCAUAACUACAGAAACAGAACCCAAUUAAUAGUUAUAAGACGAAACAUAGGCUGAAACUCCAAGUAGAGAAUAAAGGUAGUGUAAAAGACAACUACAAUAAAUAACUCCACAUAAUGUACUUAGUACGAGUUUCUUACUUCGGAUGUGGUUAUGGCGGCAGGUAGCGAGUUGGGUCUCGUGCUCCUGUCUUUUGUUCCUUAACGCUGACUGUGGAUCCUCUAUUGAACCUGUUAGUCUGCCUUUGCUUGUGAAAAGUCUUUAGCUACUUACUUGAUUUCUUGUAAUACUGCCUAUGAUCCUUACUAUACUUUGACUUUGAUUCUCUACUUUAUCUUGGGCCCGGCACCCUUGCUUGCUAGUUAAAGAAGCCAACUACUCAUUCGAAUAUGAUAACUCGAACCAGGGGGUAAUAACAACCAAUACUUAGGGGAAUCAUAACAACCAGCACCCAAGGGAAUCCAACUAUGGGCAAACUGACUUGAGCUACUACUUCUAAGAAGAGAUCUGCCCUACCUAGCUAUCAUUCUGACUAUACCUUUGAUCAGCCUACCCUUCCUGACUCUUAUUCUUUACCUAGUGAUCCGGAUCCUUACUCAUUUGGUUUAGAACCCAACUACUACUAAUAAGGGUUGAGCACAGAACAUAGACUUAUAUAAUGUCUAGCGAAUCUUCCUAUUACUGAUAAAAUACCCGAACUUGGUUAAGCAGACUGCCGCUACACAUUACCUGUUAUGUUGAUGCUUAGGUUUAAGUCCUUCACUGCUUAGUUUCAUCUUUGUUACCUCGCCUUUCCGUCUGCGACUACUUGAUCUAAGGCUAACUCCGCCUCUCCUAGCUAUAAAACGGAAAUGACUUAUUUACAUUCCCGCUUGCCCACUACUUUCUUGGGUUCUGUAUUACCUAUUAUUUCACUGCUGACUUAAAAGCUGUCCUUACUCGCUAUAGGUCUCACUGUCCUUGCUUCGAUUCUAUGUAUUCUUCCUGACAUCUCUGCCUGUUAGUUAAAGAAUAUCCACCCUACUAAUACUGAUUUCAAUCAUCGCCAACAAGCCUUUGACUACCACUCACACGAUCCCCGCUUACAUGCCUCUACUCCCUUAGGCUUUCAGCACCCGAACCCACUUCUUUACUUAUAGCUUAAAAGCCUCUCCUCUGUCAACAACUACUGAUGAAACGGGUUCCCUUGCCCACCUCUGUUGGAUUAUACCUUGCAUACCUAGACUCUAAAGUCACUUAGGAUAUCCCUUUGAGCCCUCUCCUCUUUCUCGCCUACCCAUCUAUAUCUGACAUGGCAAAUGAUUCUAUUUCCACUUUACAACUGGACCAGACCACUUACUAAUGCUAAGGUAGGGGCAUACAUACUAUACUAUAUUACUUAUUACAGGCAAGGAAGCACUAACGGUAUGAAGACUCUCAUUGCAGCUGACUUUGGCAAGCCUCGGAUCCUUCUCUUGCAACACCUGAUAGAGAGUCGACAACCUCAACUCACACUGCUGAAGAAUUCUUAGUUGACUCGGCAACUUACAAUAAAUACUCUGUGCUCUCACUUUUAUAAGCAUUACUCAUCCUAUAGCCAAGCAGUAUAUCCUGGGAAGACCUUUGCUUAUGGAGCACUUAUCGUUUUGGCCUUUCUUUGCCUUUGUAGUAGUGACUGCAUUGAUUCUUCAAAUUCUAUAAAUGAUUUCUUAUAUAUUAUAUAAUAGAACAAUAGAACUGAUGAAACUGCUAAUGAGUCUGACCUAGAACUGAUGAAACAGCUAAUGAGGAAUUAACAGUAAAGCCUAACUGCUUCCCUUUCUGACCCAACUAAGACAGAUUCCACUGGCAAGGAAGCACUAAAUAGCCCCGGGGUGAAGACGAAACUAGGGAUGAAACCUACUCCUAGUAAGCGCUAACCUAGGAACUCCGCCUAUAUUCCUUCCCCCCUCUCUCCUUCCAACAAGCCCAGCAGCUGUCAACUAUUGACUGACUGAAUGAGGCCGGCUCCUCUACCGUAGUUAACAAAUACAGAAAUGGACUAGCGGCCCUUUAGCCAUGAAUACAGGACUCAUAGGGGCACCGAACUAUAAAGACAGAAAUCAACCCUGCUUAAUUGACUCAUUGCCCGGACUGCCGCCCGAACAAAGCACUUGGUGUUAACUCUAUUAUUAACUGACUGUUUCUUGUCUGCUUGGCCGGUAUUCCACUGGCAUUAAAGAAUGAAACUUGCUGAUGGCUCCUAUAGCUCGUUAAAGAAUCUAUCUCCUAUAGCUCGUUAAAGAAUCUAUCUCCUAUAGCUCGCUAACUUUCAUUCUCACUUGCGGAAUUCUUAUCCUAUAACUCCGCCCCUAACUCUAAUAAGUGUUCACCCCGACCCGAACGAAACUUUCCACUUACUUUACCUCGAACAGCAUCUUUUCUCUCUCCUAUAGCUCUGGCAACAGGCAAUACUUCUGACUUUGUUAACUACUGACGAGUUUCAUUCUUACUUGAUAACUGGAACUGGGGCAGACCUGCUUGCGCCAUCGGAUCUAGCUUCUAUUCCACCUCUUACCUAUGUCCUUUAGUAGUAGUAGCACUGGUAGCAAUGCCAAUAUUACCCUGCAAACUGGGAAUUCCGCAUCUGUAUUCUGAUACGACUUCUUCAACACCAAAGCUAUCCUUUCUUCACCGACUACACUAGCACCUAACCUAUCUUAUACUGGGCCAAGCAGCCAAGCAACGGCUACUGAUGCUGAUUCUAUUUCUUCCCUUGAUUCUUCUGUCACUCCUAUUGAGAUUUUCCCUUGAUUCUUCUGUCACUCCUAUGCUCUCGAUCGCGUAUAUAGUCCCUUGUUCUUAUUCUUUCUAUGGCAUCUUAUCUUCUCUUUGGAACCCCUGAUUUCAGUAUGAUUGAGGAUCCCCUUCAUUCUCGUAUGUGAUGAAUCCAUAGAUGAUCAAAGGAAAUCCGAUUUCGGCAUGAACCCGCUUACAACUCAUUAUUGAUUGAACCCGCUUACAACUCAUUCGUGAUUGAACCCGCUUACAACUCAUUAUUGAUUUCCCCUGUUAGUCUGCCUCUAACUCUACUUGGUUUCAACCUUGUUGAUUCUUUUCUGACUCUUUCCUAUGCUAUGGUUAAGGCGUUGGUGCACAUUCCACGGUUCUUACUAUUAAUAGGCGUAUUUCUCUUCCAGGGUUUCGAGGUUCGAUCUCACAUUACAUUACACUCACAUUACAUUACAGGUUAUCGAGUAGUUGCUAAGUUCACUUGUCUCUGCUUGUCUGUUCUUUUGAGUUUCUCUUGUUUGAUUACAAUACCCUAGCCCUACCAGAACAAGUAAGUAAACGAAUUCUUCUUUCUGACCUCUACUCCCAGGAUUGGAUACCUUGCGAAGGAUACCCUGGCUAAGAAAUGCACUGAGAAAAGUAUAAGUACGAUCCCCUAAGGCAUCAGAUAAGGUACGAAUGAAACUACUCAUUCAACAUAUUUGUAUAGGACCUACAAACGGAAAGUAAGCCUGCCAUUCCUCACUCUAAAGCUACCGACCUCAGAUCCGUGCCUAUCCGCGCCUUUCUCUCAGCUUUCUUACUGCCCUGGCUUUCAUGUCUCCGUUCCUGCUACUACUGCUUGCAACUCCUAUGUGCGAGUCUUCUUCUCCUUUCUUUCAAGUAGUAAAUACAGAGUGCAACUCAACAGUACAAUAAUGACUCAUAAGUAGGGAAUUUUACCCUAAAGCAAGAAUCCAUCAAGUAAGUCACAGAGCGAAACCCAAUAGUCAAAGAAUAAUGGAACAUAGGAAUGCCGGGCAGGAAAGUCAGCCUCACUGUUUCCAUUAAGACUAGAAGGAAGGAUCGGCAGGUUCACUCUCGAACUGUAGAAUACACGACAUGGUUCUCAUACUUUAAGAGGGAGGCGGCCGGUAUUCUCUUGCUGAUUCUCUUUGUGGGCGUUAUUUAAGUCUUAGAGGUGAUAGUUUUGUUUCCCCUACUAAUGAGUUGAUUUCUCCGACUCAAGAGUGUAUUUCCCCUGCUUGAGCUUAGGUCUUAUACCAAUGGGGAAACUCUGAUGCUUGCUACUCAAACUAUUAGUAUAUAACUAGAUGCGCUAGCUGUACAGUACAGACUUAGGCUUUAUACUUCCGGUAUAUAUAGUUCACUUGUGAGCCUGUGCCCCUCGUAAUUCUUCUUCUCUUCUUGCUAUACCUUAUUUAGCCUGCCUUUCAUUCCUAUACUAUUAAAUAUUCAUCUGAUUCCUAUGCUAAUAAGGAUCACACUACUGCGGAUGAGGCUACUACUACUUAAUUUCAUUCAUACUUAUCAGAAGGAACACCUGGGCCCUAGACCAUACCACCUUGCUAGAUUAGAUCAUAGUCACCUACCCUAUUCUCAGUAUCCAAACUUCAGAGUCACAUUCUUAUGUUCCGUACUCCAUUCUGUAAUUCUGAUUUCUCA